UUUUUUUUUUUUUGAACAACAUAUUAACAAUACAUAUGUAUGAAAAAACUAGGAGUCUAAACUCUGAACCAUUAUAUUUAUAAAAAUUUAGAGGGGUGAUAAAGAACCUACAGCCAGUUAAGCAUGCUGCAUACCCACUUCUCAGGUAAAUCAGAAGGAUUUAAGCCUAUUGGAAGAAGGCGCCACUUCAGGCACUUGUCACAAGAAACCCAAUUUUCAUUUAUCAAUACAGGAGCUGCAGUUCCAAGGGAAGCCCCAACAGUGUUCACACUGCCAGAGUUAGAAGCACCAUCCAAUGUUGCUCCAGGGAAUGAUUUGCUUGCCAGUAAAUCCUCUCUUUUCUUACCACUUCGUCUGCCAUUAUGUGAACUAUUAAUGGCUAAUGUGUUUUUUCCAAUCAUAUCAUCUUCCUUCAGUUGAUCUUUAGAACGAAUUUCUAAAGAACUUGUUAGGUUCUCUUCAUGUUCUGAUCCUCCAACAUCUCCAAAAAAAUCUCUAUCCCUAUCUUCAGCCUUUUGAAAAGGUCUUUCUAAUUUUUGGUCUCCCGAGUCCUUUUUGUUUGUAUUAUUGUUCACAUGAGCAGUCUGCUUAUUUUUCAGCAUCAAAGAAGAACCAACCCUCAAGCUGUCUUUUGGUACCUCGGCAGCUAGACUGCCUUGACCAAGACUGCUUUUUGAUUUAUUUUUUCCACCAGAGAAGGUUUGCUCCUUGGCAGAAGGCAACUUCAGAUUGUGUUGCUCCUGCAAUGUAGCUUUCAGGUUGCUCUUCUUCCUAAAAGGAUCUACCGCUUCACUAUUUAGAGCUUUGCUACCUUUUGGAACAUUAGACUCAGCUUUAACAAAAUUAUAAGUGUUUUCUGCUUUAAUAUACUCAUAUUUUCUCGUGCAACCUGAAUUAUCAUCUAGAACACUUGUCUUUUGUUCCUCCAGAACCUUUUGAGCUGAACUAACCCUUGGAUUCUCCCAACCAAUAUCUUGGGUAAGUAUAGGCUCCACCGACUCCUCCACAGCUACAUGAUGUACACCUUUAUUUCUUGCUAUGCUAUUAUCUUUUACCUUGCCAACAGCAGAAUAUGGAUUAGAUAAAAGAGGAAGCUCUAAUGUUCUUGAAACAAGCUCCUCACAAGCCAAUGCAUCAGUAUCUACUUCCUUCUUUGACAUGAUACCAUUGCCAUUCUUUAUUUCCCUUUUACUGCCAACCUUCCUUUCCACCAGAAAAUCCUUUUUCUCCACUGAGUCUGAAUUAGCUUUCUCAUCUCCCAAUAAUAUUUCAUCACCCUUUCCAGAAUUAGAUAUAUUCUCUUUUAAGAUUUUUUCCUCCACAAUCAAGUUAAGUAGAUGAUCAGAGAGAGGAGACAAUAGUGCUUCCCCAGGUACUGGGAAGGAAGUCAUCAACUGCUCACAUUCAGAAUAAAAGAAAAUAUUUCAAUCACUUUAGGUAUAUCAAAUGUAAGAAAAUACAAUAUCAAAGAUGAAGAAAAACAUUCCUUUAAUGAGAAGAAUAAUAAAUAUUAAAUGGAGGAUUUACCUGAAGAAUACUGGUUGGAGAUUCAAAUAUGGGCUCUUGAGUUCCCCCAUACAUCCCUUCACUUUCAGAAGGGCUCUCAUCUAAGGAGGAAGAUGGUGAGACAUCAAGGCCAAGACCACUGUAGAUUGCAGCAUUUUUUUGUGUCAACAAGUUGUCUGAACCCAUUUUGAUUCGUAGCUUCAAUGUUUUCUGGUCUGGCAGAUUGGAAACUUUCUUGUCCGCAUAUUCACACCUAGCGGCAACCUCAUGAGCAUGAGUAGAUGUUAAGCUGACCUCUUGCUUAAUUGAAUCAUUCGCAUAUGAUGCCUUUAAAGCAGGGAGGGUUCCAAAACUUGUAGGAUGACGACCAUCCUAUAUAACAAAACAAACAAAGUGCUCACUUUAACUUGGACUUCUCAAAUCAACCAACAUCCUGCAAAAGAUUCCUCCCUUAUACAAAUUGAACCAUACUUUCAAGUGAGGAAAAGAGAUUAAAGAAACUUUUACCUCCAACUGUAUCGUGUUAGGAAAUCUAGGUGCAUUGCAAUUCUGAACGUUCGGUGAACUCGUCGGAUGAUACCGGCCAGGAGAACGUUGAUAAGUAGGUAAGAAUGAUCCAUAUCCACCAAAUUUUGCCCCUGCACAAAUGCCAAGAAUCCAAAAUCCGGAAUUCAUCAAUUACAAACCAUGAAUUCCAACGUAUUGACUCUUGACAUAAAGAACAAUGGUUCUCUUUUUCUUCCAGCUUACCCAGGUUUUCUGCAGAUACUCCACCUUCAAAAUCCUUUUGAAAAUGUCCAAGAAUAUGUUGAAUUUUCUCAUCCUUAAAAAACAUUACAGGAGCCACACAUCACUAAAAAGAUCAUAAACACAUGGAGAGAAACUAAGAACAAACAUCAAAAAAGUUAUAAGAGAGAGGUCUAUAUACAUAUAAUCCUACACCAGUACACUAGCUCUUAGAAGCUAAUCCUCUAAAAGCAUUUAUACUACAAUGAGAUCUAUAAGCUAACUAAGGAGCUUGAAUCUUACUCUCCUAACUUCCAAUUAAGAAAUUCCCAUAAUUUACCAUAAUAAAACAUCACCAACCUUACAUUGAAGCGAACAUUCAAGAAAUGCCACUUGAAUUUUACUCUGCUAACCUAUGUUGCUCAGACUCAUCAAUUGCCUUAAAGCUUAAGAUACAUGAUUCACCAUAAAAGGGUACAAGAGAAAGAUACAGAUGUGAGGAGUCGUUUUACAUUUACUUUAAUAUAAUAUAUACAUUUACACAAAUAUAAUUUGCAUGAAUUAUUUGUUUGAUUUUGAUAGUUAAUUUCAAUUUAGGUGAAUAUUAUAAUGGAUGAAGACCAUAUUGAUAUGUUGUCUAUUUUUUUAGGUAUGAUUGUUGAAAGGGAAAACUGGUUAGACUAAUAUUCUUGUUUGAGCCAUUUAUUUUUAACUGAGCCUUAGCCUUAACCUUAAUGAUUAAAGAAUCGGACACAUACCCCGCACCCUUGUCCAUGUUGUAGGUGAAGAUGGUCAUAGGAGCCAAGGGGGGCCAAAAUUUUUUGAAAAUUUUAAUUAGGCCCCAAAAAUAUUUAAAAGUUCUCAUUAAGCCUUCCAAAAGUUCUAAAAAUUUUAACUAGACCCCUUCAGUUUUUUUUUUUUGUAAAUUCUCAUUAAGCCUCUAAAAUUUUGAAAGUUUUAAUUAUGCUCGUCAAAAUUUUUGAAAAUUCUCAAUUAAUCCCCCAAAACUUAGUGGCAAGAUCUGAGAGUGCCAUGUGGUGUCAUGCCAACACAUGUGUGACUCCCAUUUUGGUGAGUCUGAGCUAUAGAGCUGCUAACUUCCAAUAACGAAUGUUAAUUUCAAAAUUACCAUAAUUAAGCAUCACCAACCUUACAUGGAAAAAAGUUACAAGCAAUUCUUUCCCCAUUAAACAUGUGUCCAACUCACAUCCAACAAUUCAAAAACCCUAAAACCAUUCAUACACUACUACCAAAAACAAAAAGAAUUAUUUAUGAUCAUGCAAGACACAUUGCAUAAAAAAAUUAUCUUCCCUUAAUUAGAUGCUUUAUUAUGAUUAUCAUCUAAAAGAAUUAAUAAGACAAGGAGACUAUAUAAGGUAACUAAUGCACAUGAACCUUACUCUCUAACUUCCAAUUACAAAAUCCCCAAGGUUAUAUUCAACAUUACCACAAUAAAACAUCACCAACCUUACAUCAAAACAAAAGUGAAAAGAAUGUCACUUGAAUCUCACUUAGCUAACUUCCAAUUAUGAAUACUACAUUCAAGAUUACCAUAAUUAUACAAGGAAGCAAAGUUAUGAGCAUUGAACCCAGUGUUUGCUCCUGCAAAAGGUGUGUAAGUUGUAACAAAAAAAAAUCAUGUGCAUUGCCUUCUCCAGUAAACAUGUGUCUAACUCGCAUCUAACAACUCGAAAACCAUAAAAUUAUGAAUACACCACUACAUACACACUAAAAAAAACCCUUCAUUUAUGACCACGUUACACAUGUAGUAGAAAACAAUUCUAUUCACCUAAUUAAACCUCUCAAAAGCUAAAUUCUUUAGAUACGUACAUCAUAAACCACACAAAACUAGCAAUAUCGGAAUAAAAAAUUAAAAGCCAAUCAUAACUUAUACAGAAAGUAACACAAACGGUAAAAACAUUUAAACUGAAAUUAUAAUAUAAAUGAAGAAAUAAAAACGAGUCAAAACAAUAUAAAUGAACAUUGAAUUUUUUUUAAAAAAUAUAAGCCAGCUUUUUGCAGAUCAGAGGAAAUAAGAAGAACCAAGUUUUCUUACAAUGUAAGAGAGAGAAGAUAGAUCAUUCUUGGGGCCGAAUGUGCCAUCAUAAGCAUCGUCAUUGUCAUUAUUUGAACAAGCCUCUCCUUCUUCAAGCUCAGUCUCUUCCAUUUCUCUUGCACCAAAACCUAAUCCUAGCCCCUUCCUCGUAUCGUUACACCAUAACGAAAUCAUUCAAAAAAAAGAGAAACAUUUUUCUUAAGAAAAAAAGGAGAGUAAAUCUGACCUGAAUUAUCAAAUUCUCAAACGUAGUUUUCUAUUAUUCGAAUCCCACGAGUCUUUUUCCCUACCAUUUUGAACAACUCCCUAAAAACCACCAUGAGGAAAGGGGCUCUUCUACCCUAAUUUCCAUAAAAAAUAUAAACAAAAAACUCGAUCACAAAUUCAAACGCCUAAUCAAAAUUUUAGAAUGGUUCAAUUUCCGAAAAGAAUAUUAAAGCGAUUUAAACUCAAGGAUCUCCUCGAAUUUUAUUGUUUUGUAGUGAAAUUUUUUGGUUCUUUUUUUUCGAUUCGAUCUCUUUUAGCUGGAAUCAAUAAGCACAUAAGAAAAUGAGAGAGAGAAAGAGAAACUCUCUCUGGUUUUGGUGCCAAAGCAGCCGCCUUUUAUUUACUUGUUUAUUUAUUUUUAUUUCUCCUCUCUCCUUCUUCGUCGUUUUUUGUUUUGAUCAUUUCUAAGUCUUUUUACUUUUCGAGGUGUAUAUUUUAGGUUUUUUAUUUGAAUAUUAAAAAAAAUUUAUUGUGGUGGUUGAUCUUGAAAUCCGAUUAAAUUGGUUAAUUGGAUUAAGAAGUGAUAGAUAUAAUUAUUUAAAUAAUAAAAUUCAACCAAUUAAUUAAAAGUUGUAAAAAAAAUCGAAAUCAUCGCUUCAAAUUUUAAAAAAAUUGGUUGUCACAGCUUAAUAAUUAAGGGUGUUCAAAUUUCAGUUAAAAUUAAAUUAAUUAAUUAAUUUAAUUUAGUCGGAGGUCGAUUAAUGAUUAUUUGAAAGUUGUUCAAAAUCAAAUAAUUAACUAAAUUAAUCGAACUUAAUAAUUAAUAAUACAAAUUAUAUGUACUAUUAAUUCGGUUAAUACGAAUUCUCCCACUCAACAAAAAAAAUCUUAAACUUGUUUAAAUUUCUUUUCUCAUAAAAUGAGUGUUUUAAGGUUUCACCCAUGGAUAUGUUAACUUAUUCAAAAUUUUAUUUUUAUUAUUUUGGAAUUUUUUUAAGAUUUAUGAAAUUAAUAUUAAUAUUUUUUAUAGUCUUAACAACAAAGAGAUUGAGUUAUUUAAACUUUCUAAAGUUAGAUAGAUAUAUGAAUAUUGGCAAUAUCCCACAUUAGGAAAAGAUAGAAAGGGAGGGGGUUUGGUUUGUUAUAUAUAGAACCCCUCCCCCUUUGGUUGUAUCAUCCCAAAAUCUUCUCCUUUGUAAUAUUUCUAGAAGAAAUAUUAAUUUGGUAGUGUCCGAGGACAUAAGCUAAAUUGGCCGAACCUCGUUAAAUCUCUGAUAUUUUAUUUCUUAUUUGUUUGCUUAUAUUUAAUAGCUUUAUGUUGGUUAUAUUUAUUUAGUUAUUAUUACUAUAAAUAUCUAAGUGAGUUCUGUCUAGUUGUUGGGUUUUAAGCGGGACCAUUUGUGACCCCUCCAAUUUAACUGGGAAUUUUCUUAGUAUAAUUGUUGGCAUAAUAAUUAUCUAAAUAUUUCUGAUAAUAUUGUUAUUAAUAUUAUCGUCGCUUCCGCAACAAGAUAGAUAUAUCCCGAAUAAUUUAAGGCAUAAUGAUAUUGAAAUUACUUGUCAUUUUGCUUGAAAAGAUGGAACACAUACAUUUUUUUCAUGUAAGGAAUUAAUUAAACAUUGGAAGUUGUCAUUUUAAUAACUAGUCUUCCAAUCAACGGGCAAGUGAUAAUUAGAGAUAAUAAAAUGGAUGCAAAGUCAAGUGUUACUGAUUUGUUGUAUGUUGCAUCAUCUUAGAAUGAGAAAAAUUAGACGAGAAUUGGGUGAAAUGUACAUUAUUAGAAAGACUUGUCAAAUUGGUCCUGCACUACAUGCAAAUAUAGAGUAGAUUGAUCGAUAUGCUAGAGUUUGAAUGCAUUAGAUCAAGAUAAUCAAUUCCAUUCUAGUAGUAAAUCAGAGCAAUUAACUCUAGGUUCCACUCUGGUGCAAACUUCCGUCGGUACUGACCAUAUCACUACGUACCUAUCGAAAUAUGGUGUACCGAUUGGUACAAAAAAUAUAAAAUUAAAUUUUUUAUUAUUUAUUUUGAAUUAAAUGAAUUGUGAAUUUUGCAAUAUGCGUGGUAUAGGAUGAUCUUAUUGUUUAAUUUAUGCAAUAAUUUUUUUUAGCUUAUUUAUUUUAGUUUGCUUAAUGGUGGAUUGUAUUUGUAGAGCUUAUUAAAGAAUAUUUUCAUGUAAUUCAUGAGUAUUUUAUAUUUAAUAUUUAAUCUCAUUAUUUAUUUGUACAUAUGUUUUAUACACAUAUAUAAAAUAUUUUUUUUUAAAAUAGUUAAAAAUCUAAAACAAUACAUUGAAAUAUAUUAACACUUGUAUGUAUUAAUACCAGUAGAAAAAUGGUACGUCCACUAGUACAGUACUAGCUACCUUGCUUUAGAAGAUAAGAGGAAUGCUACUUCCAUAUAAGUCUAGCAACAAGGUCCAUGCCAUGCAUCUUCCUCUACUAGAAUCUUUCAAUAUAGCCAAUACAUUCAACUAUGGGUCAAUAACUCUAGCAUAUUUGUGUAAGGCACUUUGUAGGGUGACUCAACAUAAGAUAGAUAAAAGUAAGCAAUUGUUGUAUAAUUCUACAAACUAGGGCUAGAUACAAACAUCGUGGUUUGCUUUCAUUCUUUCUUAGUCAUAGGAGUUCCUUAUUAUUCAAAGGUAAAAUUAUAAUCGUAUUGAAUAUCUUAAAAUGUAUCAAAUGAUCAAUAUUUUUAAUUUUUCAUUGUAUUUAACAUUUAAACAGAUUUUGGGGUCACUUAAAUCAUAUCAAUUAUAGAAAGGACCUUACUUGAAUGUGAUAGGAAAUUGAUCAACUACUUGAUCAAGAUGUAUGUGAUGUUAUUUUCAUAUUCAAUAUAAGAGAUUAUUUCUAUGAAUGGAUAUAGUUAUAUUUAUUGGAAAUGUUUGUAAUUUCUUUAGAUAUUGUACCUGGACAAGGCACUUAUUAUCAUUCUACGAAGGACAACAUAUGCAUACUCUACAUUGUGAAAGUUGCAAGUACCCAUCACUUGUUCCAACAAUAAGGAGUGGUAGCAACUUGAUCAGGAGAAAUGAUAGUUUGAGUUAGUGCAAGAAAUUUGAAUGAUCAAGAAAACCUCGAUCAGCUUUAUAAAAUAGAUUUGAAGGGUAAGAAGCAUCGAUGCACAAAGCGUUCACAGUGUGUUGUGCUCUAGGGCCAGUGAACUCGGUAUUUCAUUUAUAGGAACAUUAUCCAGGAUAUUAAUUUCCAUCCCAAUAAGGUAUGAAUGCAAUGGUUUGUGCAAAUGGGUCUAUUGCGGUUAUAUGAGGUUUUGGUCGACUAGUGCAACUUCUUCAGCCAAAGCUAGAGCCACCAUACAACAAUUCGAGCUGGAGCCAUAUGUCAAAUCUACCUUCCAGGGCCUUGCGGCCCCUUCUGCCCUUUUGACAUUUUAUCUAAUUGGGUAUUUAUUUCAUGUUGGUGAUGGAUCCAAUCAUACUAACACUCUUCCUUCAUCACUUAUGACACUAGUGAUGGAAAAUAUACUUAUAAGUUUAGAAUUUACGUAGCUUUUCGAUCUGACGAGUCCCUACACACUUCAACUCCUUUGUAUAUUGCAUCAUUAUUCUCUAACAAGUCAAUCAGGCGUGCAAUUUAACAUCUUCUUAUUGAUGCAUGAAAUGAAUCAUGGUGAUGACAAUGAUACUCCAAUCUAGGCACCAAUGCAGUGGAAUCCUGGAACCAAAAACUACUGGUAUACAGAUCUCUUUCACCACAACAACUUCACUAUGUUAUUUUGAAUCCAUUGAUGUAAUGUUAAUUUUGUCGCAUUUAUUUUUGGGUCUACUUAUUUAGUUAUCAAAUUAGUGAGCUAUAAUUUUGUGAGACAAGGUCAGAAUGAUUUCGGGUUCCCCUAUUUGAAUUUGGAAAAUCAUAAAAAAUUGGAUAAAAAUAAUUAGAGGCUUAAAUUUAUAUGUUUAGAAUCCUGAAUAAGUCUAUUUUCAAGAUAAACAAACGAGGGCAUCAUUCGAAUCUUGUACGAGAAGAUAAUUAAUUUUUAGUGAAGAAUGGUCAGAACUGUCAGACAGCAGAACAAGGGAGACUUCAAUGAAUAAACUUUAUUUAUUGGCCCAACCAAAAAUUAUGAAAUUUUUAUGGUAAGAAGACAUAUGAGUCUAGUUUUGGGAAAAUUUAUGGAUCUUAAUUUCGAGUUCUGUAGCUCAAGAUAAAAAUAAUUUAGUGACUAUGACACAGAUGGACAGCUUGAAUCACUACAGCAAAACUGACUUUUAGCGGCGUUUUUUUAGACCUUUAGCGGCGUUUUUCUAAGCGCCGCUAAAAACGUCUCUAUUUCUAAAGUUUGCGGCGUUUAUUUGAAAAAAACGCCGCUAAAAGCCAUGACCUUUAGCAGCGCUUUUCCCACAAACGCCGCUAAAGGCCAUGACCUUUAGAGACGCUUUUUCCAAAAACGCCGCUAAAGGUCAUGAAAUUCAAAAAAAAUUAUAAAAUAUUAUAAAAGUCAUGAAAAAUAUAAAAAAUUUAAAAUUCAUUAUCAAAAUAUUGAAUGAUAUAAAUAUAAAAAUUUUCUAUUAAAAUUUUAACUGUAAAACUAAAUACAAAAAUUAAUGAAUUUAAAUUUAGAAUUUAAAAUAAUAAAUUAAUAACACAAUUAAAAUCCAAAAGUUAGAACUCAAGUUAUCUUAAAUAUUAAAAUAAAAAUAAAAAUUUAGAAUCAAAACUAAAAUAAAUAAUAAAAACUAGAUUAAUUAUAAAAAUAUCAAUAAAAUAAGACAUUAUAAUGAAGUUACUUAAAUGAAAUAAGGAAAUGCAUUAGAUUUGGCGACCUUUUCUCUCCACCCUUUCUGACGAGCUCUUAUUUCCCACAUUGCUGUUAAUUUCAUUUGAGCCGACAGUGCUUCUUCAGCUUUCUCCCUUACUUCUUCGCACGUGUCCAUACCCGAAUUGCAUUUGUCCGCUUCCUUUUGAUAUUGUGAUGCUAACUUCUUAGCCUCGAGUAAAAAAAAACAUUUAUGUAAAAAAUUAUAACAAUUAAGCAUUAGUGACAUACAAUUAACGAUUAAAAUAAAAUAAAACAUAUAUGUAACAAAUAAAUUGUUGGUCAGAAAAAGUUGUAAAAAAUGAAAAAAGGCAUUUGCAAUCAAUCUUAAAAUUAGAGGUGAUCUAAAAGGCAUAGAAAAUCAAAUGUAAAAUUUCUUUGUAUUAAGUUACUUUGUCCCAUUUUCCAAUAAAUACAUCCAUCCAUGACAAAGAAACAGGAAACUGACCUGUAAAGGAAGCAUUGCUCAGUCAUGCAUUAAUUAAAGAUAGAACCAUAAAAUUAGCUUAAUUCUGCUGGGCAAAAUUGCCAAAGAUCAGAUAAUUAACAUUUCCAAAUACCCGAUUAACAUCUUUAAUAAAAAUGGAAACUUGAAACUUUGCAGGGCAAGUAGCAUAGAGAAUGCUAAUACAAAGCAACAAACAUAAUAGAAAGAAAGGCUAACAACAGCUUGCCAUGCAUGUAAGCAUUCAUAAAACAGGCAUGAGUUUCAACUUUCAAUAAAUAGCUGCAUAACUACCAAGCAAAACCCCAUAGCCAAGGAAAUGCAUAAAAAAACAUGACAACUGGGACAAGUGGCUUUGGCAAAAAAAGAAAAAAAGAAAAUGCAAAACAAAGGAACUAAUAGCAUAACAAGGGACAAAGAAUUGAUUGACACUACUAUCAUCUAAAAAUUCAAAAUGAAAGACAUAAAUGUAGAAGUUCGACAUUAAAGGACAUAAAUGCCAAUGUUAAAGAAGCUGGACCACAGGUUAAACCAGUUGGUUUGAUUGUUUCUUAUUUUAUUUUUUAUGUUUAAACAUUAAUUUAAUGUAAAAUAAAUAGUUAAUAUAAUUAAUAGUCAACAAUAAUAUGCAUUUACCUUAAUGGCAUGGUCUUUAAUUUAAGCAAAAAGGGAAAAAAAAUAAUUAGUUUUUUACCUGUUCAAUAAAUAAUGGCAUGGUCUGUUUCAUAUUUUGUAUAUACUAUAUGGUAUUACAGUGUUCUAGCCUCUAAAACCCUCCACUAUAUAAACAUAAUAAGGACAAAAAAGAAAACGCAAGAAAAAGAUAAAAACCUUUUGUAAUGUAAUUCCAGCAGCUUCUCGUCUCUUUCCCGUUGCCUUUUCAGCUCAACCUCUGCCUUCAUUUUUGCUGCUGCUUCAGCAGCUAAGAUUUGAGCUUCAAUCUUUGCCUUUUCUGUGAAGGUUCAAUCAUCAUCUAUAAGAUCUCAGGGCACACUAUUGCCUCACAAAUACUUAACCAACUUAAAACUACUACUACUAAUAGAAACUGGUCCCUGUAUGCACCAGAAGGAAUAAUAUUCCUAAUCACUCAAAACAUAUCUCCAAUUACCAUUAAAUAUAGAUAUAUAUCAAGCCAACCAAACAAAUCAUUUCAUUUCUCUCAUUCAAAGAUAACCUAAAGAUACUAGCACAUCAAACAUGAAAGAAAGCGAAACUGUGGAAAGCGAUUCGGCCAGGUUUUUCAGCAUCUAGAGUUUCUGUCAAUGUUGGAGAAGAGAUAAAUAUUCGAGUAAUUCAUGCUUAUAGUAAUUCAUGCUAAUAUGAAGUUUGAUUGAUAAAAAAUGUUUAUGCAGUUUUUAGCAUUUGCACUCUAUCAAUCCAUUACUGCUGAGAUCUGAUUACUAAGUCAGCCAUACAUAUCUCUCUUGUUUGUAAAAUAUGCUUAUAAAUAUAUAUAUCUUUCUUUUCUGAAUGAUGAACUCAAAAGAGAUUAAAACUAUUGCAGCUUCUAACAUUGUAUACUUUUCUUAAGAUCCAAGUGAUUCAUGAUUCUAGCUAUUAGGAUAUAAUUGAAACCAUGUUUUUUUGCAGGCAAUAGUAAUAUAUAAAUUAUCAAAAACUUUACAGUAGCGUGAUCUAUCUUUAGCUCAUUGCAAAUCUAAUUAUCUUUAUUAUAUUUUGAAAGCCAGGUCGACUGAAGGCAAACAAAAAGCUUUUCUUUAUAUAUAUUUGAUGUAUAACGGAGAUCCUAUAAUGUCUUAAAAAAUGAAACUAUGUCAUCCCAUAUUGUCACUCGGUCUCACCACCACCAUUGAUCUUGAUGAGCUUAAACCUCCUCAUUAGUCUCCAUAUAUUAAGUUCAUUGGACAUAUAAAAUCAGUACCUCUGGGAGUCUCUCAGCUGCUGCAGCUUCCUGAUCCACAUGCAAGAUGAGAAAGGCCAAAAAUCAAUAAGUAAUACAGAGCAAAUAAGGAAAAUAUUGUAUAUUUUCUCAGUUUCUUGCCACUUGCCAAGAAGAAACAUGAGGUCUCUCACCAGGGAAAGUAAUUUCUUUAAAAGUGCAUUCUCAUUUCUCAAUUGCUCCACUUUUUCUUCCAGAAAUCUUGUAUGCUCCUUCAAAACAAGAUCGCAGCCUUAGUAUAGGAAAACAGUUACAUCUGUGGAAAUUAAAAUCGUAAGAACUAAGUUCCCGUUUCAGCUCUACUAAUAAAACAGGAAAAAGAAAGGAAGAAUUGUAAUUUUCGACUAGUAUGCUUGCAUAUAUAUACAUGCUGCCUUCUAGAUAUGACUGUAUGGAACAACUUGGCUAAGUUUGGGGUUGUAUUCUAGAUUCUACUACUACUGCGCACACAUACGCACCUGAGACCUGGCUCGAGAUUUUGCAGCUGAAAUUCUGUUUUUGAUCUUAUUCUUCCUCUUCUUUUGCUCAGCCUCUUCAAUGGCUUCUUGUAUUUUGUUCCUCCCUCUCUUGUAAACAGGUAAAUCAUUCAUUAUGAGCAACUCUCCACUUCCUGAUGGUGCAUCUGCAGCCAAAACCUGCAUUCGAGACCUAUAUGGGAACCCUAAUGGAUUAAUUAAACACCCUCCAUUUCUGAUAAUCUUAUUCUGAUCAUUUAGACGACAAGAAGAAGAUCCAGUUUCUUUCACGACAUUAUGAAUCCCUAUUUCCUGCUGCUGUGGUACACUAUUGCAGGUUGCAUUAGGAAUUUGCUGCUUUCUUGCGGCUGUUCAUCGUCUGGUUUCUCAACUUUGACAUCACUCAUUUCUCUCAUUCAACUAUAAGCAUGAAUUACUCGAAUAUUUACCUCUUCUCCAACAUUGACAGAAACUCUAGAUGCUGAAAAACCUGGCCGAAUCGAUUUCCCUAAUACCUGAAAAAAAUUGAAUUUUUUUAAAUAUAAGGGCUUUACUUAAACGAAGAACUAUUAAAAAAACUUAGGGAUUUUGGGGGAAAUUUAGGGAUUAGGGGAAAUGUAGAGAAUUGGGGAAAUCUUUUUUGGGGUUUUGCUGGAAAUGGCUAAACAUUUGGGAUAUCUGUUUUGGGAUUUUGGGGAAAAUGGCUAAGUGUCGGGCAUGACACAAGAAGAUGAAAUUUAAGAAAAAAAGACGACGUCGUUUUCAUAGUGUUUUUUGUGGCGUUUUUUAAAAAAACGCCACUAAUCUCUUAAUUUUCAUAUUUAUUUUUAUUUGUUAUAAUAGUGUUUUUUGUGGCGUUUUUUUAAAAAAUGCCACUAAUCUUUUAAUUUUCAUAUUUAUUUUUAUUUGUUAUAAUAGUAUUUUUUGUGGCGUUUUUUUUAAAAUGCACUAAUCUCUUAAUUUUCAUAUUUAUUUUUAUUUGUUAUAAUUUGGAAGCCAUAAUAAUUAAUUAAUGAUAGUCAAUAUUUAAUAAUAUAUAUAUAAAGUUUAUCUAUUAUCUCUUAAAUAAUUUAAACUAUAAUUAUAAUUUUAAUAUAUUAAGAUUAAUAUUAUUUCUUUUACAAUUAUAUAAGAAAUCAUUUAAUAUAUAAAUUAAAUAAUACUAAUUAAUCUAAACCCUAAACCUCUAACCUUUACCCCUAAAUCUUAAAUCAUAAAUCCUAAACCCCAAACCCAUAACCCAUAUCUCUUAACACUUAAAACCUAAACCCUUAACACAUAACCCCUAAACUUUAAACCCUAACACAUAAUCCAUAAACCUUAAAAUAUUAACUCAUAAACCAUAAACCCCUAACCCCAAUCCCCUUAACGCCUAACCCUUAUCCCCUUAACGCCUAACCCCUAUCCCCUUAAAACCUAUUUUGGUGUAAUGUAUCUCUUUUACAAUUAUAUAAGAAAUUAGUUAAUAUAUAAAUUAAAAAAUACUAAUUAAUCUAAACCCUAAACCUCUUAACCCCUAUCCCAUAAACACUAAACUCUAAACCCUUAACCUUUAACCCUUAACCCCAAACUCUUACACCUUAAACUCUAACCCUAACCAUUAAGCCCUAAUUAAUCAUAAUCCCUAAACCCAUAAUUCAUCAUAAACCUUCAAAUACUAGUUAACUCUUAAACCUUAAACCCUAAACUAUAUAUCUUAAAUCAUAGUUAACUCAUAAACCUUAAACCCUAAACCAUAUAUCUUAAACCAUAAACUAUAAACUAUAAUGAUAAUUAAUUCGAUAUUUUAAAUUCAAUACUAUCUCUUUUACGAUUAUAUAAGAAAAUAUUUAAUAUAUUGUAUAACCAUAAAUUUUAAUAAUUAUUGUUUUAGGGGUUAUAGAUUAGUGUUUAUGAUUUUUUUGGGUUUAGGGGUUAUAUGACUUUUAGCGGCGUUUUUCCAAAAGCGCCGUUAAUGCUCUGGUUUUUAGCGGCGUUUUGCCAAAAGCGCCGCUAAUGCUCUAUUUUUCGCGGCAUUUUUUACUAAAACGCCGCUAUUGCUCUGGUUUUUGUGGCGUUUUUGGUAAAACGCCGCUAUUGCUAUGUGUUUUACAAUUUUUGCGGCGUUUUUUGAUAAAAUGCCUCUAAAAACGCCGCUAAAGCCCUAUUUUCCUGUAGUGAAUAUUCACAUAAGUAGAUAGUGAAAAUUAUGGAUAAUGUUACCUAUAAGUGUGUUGUUUAUACUAAGGAUGUGGAUGGAGAGGAGGAGGAGGAAAAUAUACAAAAAUAUAUGAAUGAGUCGUGUAUAAAUUGAUCACAUGCCUGAUUAUAAUCGAUAAGUGUUGGAUUAGAAAUGAUAUAAUGUUUUAUUUGGUAUAUUUAUUAUGAAAUUAUGAUUAUCAUUAUAAUACAAAAAUUGAACUUGUGAGUUUAUAUGGAUAAAUUUUAGUGAUUAUUUGUUAAUUUUAUGAAUUUCAUGAUGUGUUAUUUCAUAUGUGUUGAUGAUAAAAUCGUGAAUAAUGUAAAAGCAUCAAAAUUGAAUAAAUGAUCAAAUUGAGCAUUUCAGUUCAGUGACAAGAUGAAUUGAAGGAAAAGACCAUGGUUGGACCAUGGCAACAAGUGAUAAGUGAUAGCUUCGGCUACACUUAUCUGAUCAAGGAAAAGUGAAAGUGAUAAGUGAUAGCUUCGGCUACACUUAUCAAAUCAAUGACAAAUGACAAGUGAAAAGUGGUAGCUUCAGCUACCUGAUCAGUGAAAAGUGGUAGCUUCUGCUACCUGAUCAGUGAAAAGUGGUAGUUCCGGCUACCUGAUCAGUGAAAAGUGGUAGCUCCGGCAACCUGAUCUGUGAAAAUGGUAGCUCCGGCUACCUGAUUAGUGAAUAGUGGUAGCUUCAGCUAUAAGUGACAAGUGACAAGUGAUUUCCGUAUAAGACCAUAUCUGGGAUAUGGCAUCGGUGUAAUAUAUGCUACUGUAUAAGACCAUAUCUGGGAUAUGGCAUCAGUGAGAUAUGUGAUUUGUGUAAGACCAUAGCUGGGCUAUGACAUCGAUAUAUGAAGAUGUGUAAGACCAUAGUUGAACUAUGACAUCGAGUAAACGAAGUACUCAAUUUUGUAAGACGUUCACUAAUUUGACAAAGUUUGGUAAGUGUUACAUGGAAUUAUGUGAUAUUGGAAGUACGAGUUGAUAAGAUAUGAGUAUCGAACUUGGUUGAUAAAUGAAUUUAUUUUGUGAUUAUAUAAUUGUUCAUCUUGAAUGUACUGUCCAUAUGUAUUGAUAAUUCAAACGUAUUAAUGAAUAAAGUUCCAACAUGGAAUAAAUUGAACACGAGACAAAUAAUUAUGAAAUUGAACUCGGAAUUCAUGAAAAUGAUGGUUAUUGAUAUAUGGAGACAUGAGACAUUGGUAUAUGAAUAUGGAAAAUAUUUGAUAAAUGUGUUUAUUCAUAAUUAUGGAAUUAUAUACCUCAUGUGUACUAUUUGCAUAAAGAUGAUAUUUCAAAUACUCUGGUUAUUUAAGCUUAAAUAUGAAACAGUAUGAAAUCAAGAUAAGUUGUUAUAAAAAUAUAUUUAGAUUACAGAGAUAUGGCGAUAUAUGUUGUAUGAUUACAUAACGUAAAAUUGUGUAUAUAUAUGAGAAACUUAAUGAGAAAUGAGCCCAUACACGUUUCUUGUUAUUUAUAUGAAGUGUACGACUGACAAGGGUGAUGAAGUUAUAAACAGAGAGUUACACGGGUUGAAAACACGGGCGUGUGACUCUCCAAAGUGUGAAAAUUUUCUAAGUGUUGCAAAAGUUUCAUAUGUUUACGGUUUGGUCUCGAACCACCCUGAAUGUAUGUUUUGGGCCCCAUAGGCCCAUAUAAAGGACGUUAAACAUAUGUAUGAAAGUUUUUAAUUUAGAAGAAAUUUUAUGGCUAAUUUUUACAUGAUUGAUCAUAUUAAGUUCGGUAAUGCCUCGUACCCUAUUCUAGGCUCGGAAUACUGGUAGGGGGUGUUACACAUUCACUUUGACAUUAAGAACACUCAUACUGUCAAUUUCAUGUCAAAACUGAAGUGGUACAUGACAAUUGGGCACCCUUCCAUCUAACGAAUCUCCAAUUUAAAUAUAUUACUAACUUUGAAGUUACUAAAACCUUAAAAUGGACUUCAAGUUAAACCAAAACAAAUGGUGCACGUGGCAAACAUUGUAAUAACCCGAAUUUUACGGUUAUCAGAAAAGUGUAUUUUCAAGUCUCCGUUACUAAAAAAUGGAUCCGUAAAUAUUUAUCAAAAAUAUUUAAAAAGUUAAUUGAGUGGUUAAUUAGAGUUUAAUUAAGUGAAUUUAGCUUAAUUAAGGAUAAUUGGAUAAAAGGAUUAAAUUGAAUAAUGUGUGAAAGUUUAAUUGUAGAUUAAAAGAAAAUAAAAAGGACCAAAAUGAAAAUUAUGCCAUUUAGCAUAAGUGAGACGGCAUAUAAAGUAAAAAUCUAAGAUUUUUACUUAGAUUUUAAUUAUAAUAUAUAUAUUUAUUAGUAAUAAAUGAUAUUAAAUUAAUUUAUUAUAAUUAUAUUAUAAGAUAUUUAUAUGAUAAAUAAAUUAGUAUAAAGACAAAUGUAUAGUAAAUAAAAUAUACAAGUGUGUGGAUAAAAAUACAUACAUUUGUAAUACAUGUAUUAGAUAUUAAAAAAUAUUUAUUAUUUUAUAAAAUAUAUUUAUUAAUUAAAUAAUUAUAUUAUAAGAUUUUAUAUCAUAAAUAUAUUAAAUAAUGACAAAUGUAUAGUUAUAAAUAAAUACAAAUAUGCUAAUAAUAUACACAUGAAUAAAUAAAUAAUACUUAUUAUUUAAGUAUAAAUACAUAUGUGUGUAUAUAUAUAUAAAAGGGAAAUAAAGAAAAAAAAGAGGAUAGAAAUGAAGAAACAAAGCAAACGAAACAAAGAGAAGGGGAAGGAAAGAAAAAAAAAGAGAAAAGAAAGAAGAAAAGAGAAAAUUUAAGGUGUGAAGCUUGAAAAUUUAAUAGGUAAGUCAAUUUAGCCCUUUUUACUUAAUUUUGAUGUUUUAGAAGCUUUGGAAUAAGAUUUUGAUGAAAUUAAGUUUAUAUUUUGAAAGUUAUUAAAUUUCUAGAUAAUGUUCAUGUUGAGUAAAAUGAUGAAAUAAGGGUUAAAUUGAUAGAAAUUCAAGUUAGAAAUGAAAUAAGGAUUGAAUUGUAAAGUAAUUCAUAAGUUUUAUGUUGAAGGGCUAAUUUGAGGAAAUUUCGAAACUAGUUAAAUAGGCUGAAAAUUUAGUAGUUAAAUUUGAGUUGGGAUGGAACUUGAAUAGAAAUAGAGUAUGAAUUAAGUUAGUAAAGUGAAUGAAUUAGUUAGGACCUAAUUGUGAAAAUGUUUGGAAUUAAAGUCUAGUGCUGAAAUUAUGAUUUCCAAAAGUUGUAAAGUAGUUUAAAGUGAUAGAAUAAAGUUUUAAUUGAGAAAAAUCAGCUCAAUUGAGAGGCUAAUUGAGUAGGGAUGAAAUUGUUAUUUAUUAAAGCUUAAGGGAAAAAUGGCAAUAAACAGCUUGCACUAAAACAAUAUUGGACAGCAGCAGUAGACUAACUUUGAAAAAUCACCAUAAAUUGUAGAAAUCGAAUUAGAAUAUGAUCAAAGUAUGAAAUUAAAGCUUAUUGAGUCUAGUUUCUCAUAGUAGAAAUAGUGUAAGUAAUGGAUUUCUAAAUAAUGAGAUAUAAUGAAUUUUGUGAGAUAAUGUCAGAAUGAAUUCGGGUUCCCUUGUUCUGACUUUGGAAAUUCAUCAAAAUUUGGAUAAAAAUAAUUAUGGGCUUAAAUUUAUAUAUUUAGAAUUCUGAAUGAGUCUAUUUUCAAUAUAAAUAAACAGGAAUAUCAUUCUAAUUCCGUACGAGAAGAUAAUUAAUUUUUAGUGAAGAAGGGUCAGAACUGUCAAACAGCAGAAUAGGGGUAACUUUAAAGAAUAAACUGUACUUAUUGGCUAAACCAAAAAUUCUGAAAAUUUUAUGAUAAGAAGAUAUAUGAGUCUAGUUUUAGGUAAAAUUAUUGGAUCUUAAUUUUGAGUUCUAUAGCUCCAGAUAUAAAUAAUUUAGUGACUAUGACACAAAUGGACAACUUGAAUAUUCAUAAAAGUAAAUAAUAAAAAUUAUAGAUGAUGUUACUUACAAGUGUGUUAUAUACAUUAAGGAUGUAGAAUGGAGAGGAGGAGGAGGAAAAUAUAUAUGAAUUUGAAUAUCCAGCUAGCAUGGCUAAUUUGCAUGUUUUAGGCUUAAGGACUAAAUUGGAUAAAAGUAAAACUUCAGGGGGUAAUUUUGUAAAAAUGUCAAAAAUGACCAAAUUGAAGGGAAUGAAUUGUUUUAUUAUCUAAAUUAAUAAAUUGAAUGAAAUUUUAAAUUUAAGAUCGAGUGAAAAUCGGGAAAAUGGUAAAUUACCAAAAUGCCCCUAAAUCUUGAUAUUUCUGCAAUUUCGCUAGGUAAGUUCAUGUAACUUGAAUUAUAUUCUUAAAUGCUUGAGAUUGUAUGUUAUUGAUGUGAAUAUGAUUUGAAUGUUCGUUGUAUGAAAAUUAAUGAAACAUUGAUAUAUUUGAUAAAAUGGGAAGAAAUCCCGGUUGAAUGAAAGGAAAAUUCGAUAGAUCUCUAAAAAGGAAUUGACGGUAAAAAAGGAUCUAGCCCGUAAGGGUGAUCCUAUCCUGAUAUAGCCCUCCCGAAGAAUAUGUGGAAAAUGGAUUUAGCCCGGACGGGUAAUCCGAAUUAGGUUCUGAAUUUAGCCUGGACUGGUAAUUCAGAUCCAAGCUCGUUAGAGUAAUUGCCGUUGCAGGAGAUUUAGCCUGGACUGGUAAUCCCACUGUAAGGAUGAGGUUCGCGGGAGUGUGCUCUCUGAAAUGAAAUGUGUAAGACCAUGGUUGAAAGAUACCAUGGCAACCUGAUAUAAAAUGUGUAAGACCAUGGUUGAAAGAUACCAUGGCAACGUGACAUGAAAUGAAUAAGACCAUGGUUGAAAGAUACCAUGGCAACAUGAUGGGAAAAUGAAUAAAACCAUGGUUGAAAGAUGCCAUGGCAACAUGAUAGAAAACGAGCAAAACCAUAGUUGAAAGAUAUUAUGGCAUCAUGACGAAGAUAAAUAAGAUCGUGGAAGAGAGACGCCAAGAUAUCUAUUGAACAACUAAUAUUCAGGUAAUAUGUACCAGAUGACAAAUGGUUAUAUGAAUUGGUUAUACAAAAUGGUUGUGUGAAAUGUUUACAGGAAUUGGUCAUAUGGAAAUAUAUGUACAAAAUAGUUGUAUGAAAUAAUUAAGAAGAUAGAUAAAUGAAAUAAGUAUAGGUACAUGGAAUUUAAUUUAUGUUAAGUUUAAUACGAACUAUUACCGAAAUAAAUAUACAUAAGAUAUAAGGAAAUGAUGGUGCAUGAAAUAUUGAUAUAACGAAAUGAAUGAUAUAUACUUAUGAAGAAACUGUAAGAGAAUAAUAUAUUUUGUGACAUGUACAUAUAUAAUUAUCUUUGAUAUGUUGAUACAAGAAAAUUAUGUAAGUUGAGACUAUUAUUAAACUCAAGUGUGAUAAGUUGAGAAAAUAGGUAUAUCAAUGUUGAAUUUAUAUGAAAUAUGUGCAACUAUACUAACAAUGUUGUUGUUUGACGCUUAGACAAGUGCCAAGCUAUUGAUUGAAUGGUAACAUGUUUAAUUAUAAGGAGCAUUGAAAUGGUAAGUACUGAGAUGAAAAUAUAAUUUAAGAUUUUGCGAAUUUUUUUUUAUGAUCCUAAUUUUAUUCCGGUUGGUUUCUAAUGUAUGUUUUGGGCUUCGAAGGCCCAAUAAAAAGACGUUAUGAUUAUUUUCAAAAUAUGAAUAAUAAAUGACUCAGAAUUAUCUGAAAAUGUUCAGUAAACCCUGGUAAUGCCUCGUACCCUAUUCCGGUAAUGGAUACGGGUAGGGGUGUUACAAACAUCAUCCCUUGCUAAAUGCUUUCUAGGUGUUGGUAGCAUCUGUGUCUUUCAGCUAAUUAAGAUACUAAAUUGACAUUACCAAAUGAAGGGAUUUAUAAAGCUAACAGAGGUCAAGUUAAUAACACUAGAUGAGAAUUGCGUUAUAAGAAAUAACCCAUUUUUCCUAAAUCAUAAAAAAAUGAACCCAUCUUUCUAAACCCCAAAUUUUGAGUGGAGGAAUUGUAACGGCACAAAAAUUUCAGUGAUAUCAGAAUAGUGAUUUGAGAUCACUAAAUCCGACAUGUGAGUUUAGAUAUUAGUAAGUAAAAGUUAAGUGUGGUUUUAGAAAUAAUUUUGAAUUAGUGAAAUUAUGAAUUAAAAGAAAUUUGUAGAUUAAAAGAGAUAAAAACGAAGAUCGAGACCUCAAAUUCAUGAACUGAGCCAUAAAUAUUUUUAGAAAUAUUUAUGGAGUGUUAGUAAGUUAGUAUUAAAGUUUCAUUAAGAAAUUUUAAGGUUUUGGUAGUCAAUUGGGUAAAAAGGACUAAAUUGAAUUAAGUGCAAAAUUUUGAAAUGUGACUAAAUAGCUCUAGUAAUAAUUAAAGGAGAACUAAAUAGGCAAUUAAACACCUAUUUUUGGGCUGGACGUAUGAGUGUGCAGGAAAAAUAAAAACCAAAUGUGAACAAGGGGCAAAAUUGGAAAUAGAGUAAAAAUUAAAUUGUAAAAUAUGAUAUAUUAGGUAAAAUCUAGAGUUUUCUUCAUUUUUCUUUAUCCUCUCCAGCAAAAACACCAUUGAAGGGUUCUUUUAAGCUGGUCUCUCAUUUUUUUACUACAUGUAAGCUCAAUUCUUGAUUAUUUCUUGUAAAUUUUGUGUUUUCGAGACUUUUACAACUAGGUCCACUUGUUUAAUUCAUUACUUUUUGAAUUCAUGGGUAAUUUUGAAAGUUUCCAUGAAUAAGCUCUGAAAUUUUAUAAUGAUUUAUCAUGGAAUUAAGGUUUUAAUUUCAUUAUAUGAUGAUUUUAUGAAGAGAUUUGCAUAAAAAUUUAUUUUAGGACCUAAUUGUGAAAAUUGUUGGAAUUAGGGUUUUGUGUUGAAGCUUGGAAUGUCAAAGAUUGUGAAGUAGUUUUUAGAGUUUAGAUAAAAUGAUAUUUGAAAGGAGUUAGUUUAAUUUAUGAAUGAAUUGAGCAGGGACCAAAUUGUAAAAAUUGAACAGUUUGGGGUAAUUGUGUAAUUUUAAAAAUUAAGGGCAUAAAUUGUGAAAUAGAAUGGAAUUUAAAUAGAUGCUAAUGAAGGAAUGAUUUUAUAAUUAUAGAUCAAGAAAACGAAGUGAAUCGUGGAAAGGAGAAAAUUUAAGAAUAGUCCCUGAAUUUCUAUGACUUUUGCAAAUUAGCCCAGGUAAGUUCAUAUGGCAAAAAUUUCAAUGUUUGAUAUGAAAAUCUUAUGAUUGUUAAAGUAUUUUAUUGUAGAUGUAAACUAUCAAAUAAUAGUAAUUAAUAAAUCAUGUAUGACUAAAAAAACAAAUUAAUUGGAACAAUGGUUUUGAGUGCUUUCAUUUUAUAACCAUAAUGAAUUGAAGGAAAAGAUGUGAUAUGUACUUCCGUAUAAGACCAUAGCUAGGCUAUGGCAUCGGUACAAUGUGAUAAUGUGAUUUCGUAUAAGACCAUAUCUGGGAUAUGGCAUCGGUAUGAUAUGUGAUCCGUAUAAGACCAUGACAGGGCUAUGGCUUCGGUGUGUGAUGUGUGACAAUGAGAAAGUCCAUAGUUUACUAUGGCAAUGUGAUAAUAAAGCACUCAAUUCCAUUAAUGUUCCCUAAUUUGACAAUGGAAAUAAAUAAGAAAUUGUAGCGACGUAAAUUUUUUUUGCUUUCGGUCGCUAGUUGAGUCAAUUUAUUGAAAAUUUGAAAAUCGACUUUACAUUUAAAAAAAAAAAGGGGAGUCACCACCAAUCUUUUUUCCUAGGUGUGAUCGGACACCUAAUAAAUCCUUUUCUUUUAAAAGAAAAUUCAUUUUUUAAAUAAAAAGAAGGCCGAAUUUAAGUUUACGUCAAAAACCAAAGUAAAGUUGGGUUCGAGAGUCGGUUACGUGCGAGGAAGGUAUUAUCACCCUCGCAACACCCAAAAUUGGUAUCUUUAUUAAACAGGUGUUGUCUUGAUUUUCAAAAAUACGAAUUCAAUUUGACAUUUAAUCGUGAUCCGAUUGAAAAAUGAGAAUUUUUAGUUUUCGAUUUUUUUAGAAGGGUGUCCACUUUUAACACGAGCCGACGAAUUUCACCCAACAUAGCGAUGAAAUCGAUGACUUAAUGUUAAAUCGGUUCGUUGCCUUAUUUAUUGAAAUUAGUAAAAAACAUGAAUAAAAAUCUUUAAAGUAGUGAACAGCAAAAUGAUAUAAAAUGGGCGGGAAACAAAAAAUAAAAGAGUUAGAAAUACAUCGAAGCAAAUAAUAAAUAUGACAAUAAUAUUAAAAAUAAUGUCAAUAUAUACGAUAUUAAACAUGAUAAUAAUAGUAUUAAACACGAAAUAGAGACGAACAUAUAUAUAAACAUAUAAUAAUAAUAAGUGAAGUGACGUAAACAUAAUAUUAAAAAUACUAAUAGUGCUAUAUAUAUAUUAAAGUAUAUACGUAAUACUAGGAAUGAACAGUGUAUACAUAAUAAUACUAAAUAUAUAUAUACAUAAUAUAUAUAAAGUGAACAUAUACAAUAUAUAUUAGAAAUACUAAUAACAUAAAAAUAUAUAUAUUAAUAAUACUACAUAAAUAUGUACAUAUAUAUUAAAAUAAAUACAUAAUAAUAUUAAAAUAAAAUAAUAAGUGACAAUAGUGGAAAUAGUAAGUAUAAUAAUAAAUAUAACGAUAUAUGAAAAUAAUACUAUAUAUGAAAAGUAUAUAUAUACCCAUAUAAUAAAAUAUAUGUACUAAUAUUAAUAAUAAAUAUAAUAGGGAUAAAAUAGAUAUAAUAAUAUAUACAUAAUAUGGUAUUAAAUAUAUAUAUAUAUAUAUAACAUAGUAUUCAAGAAUAUGUACAUGAGAUGAUAUAAAAAUAUAUACAUGGAAUAGUAAAAGAAAUAUAUAACAAAUAACAUUAAAAAUAUAUAUAAUAUAUAUAAAAUAUAUACAAUAUAUACAUAUAUUUAGAAAUGAUAAUAAUAUAUAAAAAAAACUAUUCAUAUGCUACAUAAAUACGUACAUAUAUAUAUAAAUAAUAAUGGUGUUAGAAAUAUAUAAUAUAAUAUUAGAAAUAUACAUACAAUAGUAUAAAAGAUAUAUAACUAAUAAUAUUAAAAUAUAUACAUAAUAAUAUAUAAAAAAUAUAUAUAAUAUAAUAUUAAAAUAUUUACAUAAUAUAUACAUAUUAAAAAUAAAAAACGACUAAUAAUAAUGCUACAUAAAUAUAUACAUACAUAAUAAAACAUAUAAUAAUAAUAAUAAUAAUGAUGAUGAUAUAAAUAAUGGUAAAUAAAAUAAUAUUAAAUAAUAUUAAAAGUAAUCAAUUCAAUAAUAAGAUAAUGAAAAUAAACAAAAAGGACUAAAAUCGAACUAAAAAUAGAGUUUGAGGGAAAAUCUGAAAUAAAAAAGAAGAGAAAAUGACCUAUUUCAACACGUACAAAUAGUGGAGGGACUAAAAACGAAAUAAACCCCUCCAACACAAAACACGCAGUAGCAUUGAAGACCAGAUUGGAAAGUAUAACAAAUUAUAGGGCCAAAUUAAAAUACAAAGAAAAUUUGAUUGUAAAAGCUUGAAAAAGAGGAAAGGCUAAAUGCGCAAAUAGCCCUUCUGUAAUAAAAACACGCGGAUCCUAGCGGGUCAAAGUCGGAUUGGGUCGGGCAGAGUGAAAUGAAGUCGUUUUGGGGCUUAUGGGUGCCGACCAAAACAACGUCGUUUUGUAACAUCUAUAUAAGUUAAAGUUUUUGUUUUUGAAAUCAUUUGUUAUCUGUUUCUAAAAAAAACUAAACUUUUUGUUUGUUUUCUCUGCAGGUCUAGGUUCCGACGAUGUCCCUGGUCGAUCGCCACCGCCGAUUGCUGUCGCCAGCCACUACGGUGGCUGGAAAGUCGAAAAGGUGUAUUUUUUUGUUUUUGUUUUUUUUAUAUUUUUAAUAUAUGUAUAUGUGGGAAAAUGGACCCAAAAAAAAGAAUAAAUUAAAAAAAUCACCUUAAGUUUUGGUUGUCCAAUUUGGUGUUGUUCUGGUGUUUUUUUGAUUUUCUUCGGAUCACUGCUUGUAUGUGUGUUAAAAUUAUUUUUGCAUUGAUGAAAAAAUGGCCAAACAGAUCCAGCCGAACCAGCUAAAUGAUCUCGGUCUUUGGCUUUUUAAAAGGUCGUUUACAUUAUUCUUUAUUACUUUCUGUCCUUUCUCUAUUUAAUUUUUGCAGGUAGAUGGGCGGUGCUGACACAGGCUGUGGAGCAGGUGGUGGCAGACGUCGGCGGUGGAUGGGACAAGGGCAGAACUAGGUGCGACGCACCUAGGGUUUCUUUUGUUAUUUUUUUUAUUUGUUAGUUGGGCUAAAUAGGUUAGGGUUAGGCAUUGUGUAACACCCCUAACCCGUAUCCGCUGCCAGAAUAGGGUUUCGGAGCAUUACUACCAUUUGCAGAUCACUUAAAAAAAUUAAAAUACUUACCGAUUCAAUGCAUCAUAUAAAAUAAAUAUAUUACCAUUCAAUCAACAGUUUGGCACUUGUAUAAGCAUCAAACAAUAAUAUUGUUAGUAUACUUGCACAUAUCUCAUAUAAAUUCAACAUUGAUAUAUCUAUUUUCUCGACAUGUCGCACUUGAGUUUAAUAAUAGUCUCAAUUACAUAAUUUCCUUGUAUCAACAUAUCAAAGAUAAUCAUAUAUGUACAUGUCAUGAAACAUAUCAUGCUCUUACCGUUUCUUCACAAGCAUAUAUCAUUCAUUUCAUUAUAUCAAUAUUUUAUGCUUCAUCAUUUCCAUAUAUUUUAUGUAUAUUUAUUCUGGUAAUAGCUUAUAUCGAACUUAACAUAAAUUAUAUUCCAUGUACUUAUACUUAUUUCGUUUAUCCAUUUUCAUAAUUAUUUCAUACAACACUUUUGUGCAUAUAUUUCCAUAUGACCAGUUCUUGUAAACAUUUCACACAACCAUUUCAUAUAACCAUUCGUCAUCUGAUACAUUUUACCUGAAUAUUAAUUGUUCAACAGAUGUUAUAGCAUCUCCUAUCCACGGUCUUAUUUAUCUUUGACGUAAUGCCAUAGUGUCUUUCAACUAUGGUCUUACUCAUUUUCUGUCAUGUUGCCAUGGUAUCUUUCAACCAAGGUCUUAUUCUUUUCAUGUCACGUUGCCAUGGUAUCUCUCAACCAUGGUCUUACACAUCUCAUAUCAGGUUGCCAUGGUAUCUUUCAACCAUGGUCUUACACAUUUCAUAUCAGGUUGCCAUGGUAUCUUUCAACCAUGGUCUUACACACAGGUUGCCAUGGUAUCUUUCAACCAUGGUCUUACACAUUUCAUAUCAGGUUGCCAUGGUAUCUUUCAACCAUGGUCUUACACACAGGUUGCCAUGGUAUCUUUCAACCAUGGUCUUACACAUUUCAUAUCAGAGAGCACACUCCCGCGAACCUCAUCCUUACAGUGGGAUUACCAGUCCAGGAUAAAUCCCCUGUAAUAUAAACUCAUAGAGUAUUGUCGGGAUUACCAGUCCAGGCUAAAUCCCCUGCAACGACAAUUACUCUAAUGAGCUUGGAUCUGAAUUACCAGUCCAGGCUAAAUUCAGACCUUAAUUCGGAUUACCCGUCCGGGCUAAAUCCGUUUUACACAUAUUCUUCGGGAGGGCUAUAUCAGGAUAGGAUCACCCGUCCGGGCUAGAUCCUUUUUACCGUCAAUUCCUUUUCAGAGAUCCAUCGAAUUUUUCUUUCAUUCAAUCGGGAUUUCUUCUCCUUUUAUCAAAUUUAUCAAUGUUUCAUAAAUUUUCAUACAAUGAAUAUUCAAAUCAUAUUCACAUAAAUAACAUACAAUCUCAAGCAUUUAAGAAUAUAAUUCAAGUUACACGAACUUACCUCAUUGCUUGUUUGUGUUUAUAAUUUCAUUAAUCUGAUAUCUUUUCUUUUCCACGAUCAAGUCUCAUAUUUGAGUCGUUCGGAUCUUUAUAAAUAAAUUUGAUCAUCAUUUUCAUUCAUUUCAUAUUCUAAUGCAUUUAAUUAACGCUCUAGGCAAAAUUACUAUUUUGCCCCUAAACUUUUAAUUAAUGACGAUUUCAUCCUUAGGGUCAGGAAAAUAAAAUUCUUUCAAUUUAAUCCUUAUUUCCAGCUAUUAUUCUCAUAUAUAUUGAUAAAAAUCCAUGAAUUCUAUAAAAUAUCAGAAUUUUUCAUAAUUUUAACACUUUUCAAUUUAAUCCCUAAAACAUGUUUUCCCUCGAUCUUGAACUAAAUUAAUAAUUUCAUUAAAUUUUGUAAUUUAAAUAAUAAAAUAAUCCAUUUCAUGCAAUUUGGUCAUUUCUGACAUGUUUACAAAAUUGCCCAUAAAGUUUUACUUUUAUUCAAUUUAGUCCCUGAGCCUAAAAUAUGCAAAUUAGCCAUGCUAGAUGAAUAUUCAUACAUAUUUUUCCUCCUCCUCCUCUCCAUUCCACAUACUUAAUGUAGAUAACACACUUGUAAGUAACAUUAUCCAUAAUUUUUAUUAUUUACUUUUAUGAAUAUUCAAGCUGUCUAUCUGCAUCACAGUCACUAAAUUAUUUAUAUCUGGAUCUAUAAAACUCAAAAUUAAUAUCCGAUAAUUUUUUCUGAAUCUAGACUCAUAUAUAUUCUUACCAUAAAAAUUUCAGAAUUUUUGGUUUAGCCAAUAAUUACAGUUUAUUCUUUAAAGUUACCCCUGUUCUGCUAUCUGACAGUUCUGACCCCUCUUCACCAAAAAUUAAUUAUCUCCUCAUACAGGAUUCAAAUGAUGUUCUUGUUUGUUUAUAUUAAAAAUAGACUCAUUCAUGAUUUUAGAAAUAUAAAUUUAAGCCCAUAAUUAUUUUUAUUCAAUUUUUUAUGAUUUUUCAAAGUCAGAACAGGGGAACCCGAAUUCAUUCUAACCUUAUCUCACAAAAUUCAUUAUAUCUCAGAAUUUAAAAAUUCAUUUCUUACACUAUUUCUUCUAUGAGAAACUAUACUCAAUAAGAUUUAAUUCCAUAUUUUUUUCAUCUUCUAAUUCGAUUUCUACAAUUUAUGGUGAUAUUUCAAAGUUAGUCUACUGCUGCUAUCCAAACUGUUUUUGUGCAAGCUAUUAAUUACCAUGUUAUAACACCCUUAUUUUCUUUUUCUACACCAUUUCUCAUCACUUUCUCUUAUUUUCUCUUCACUAACAUAUCAAAAACAUAGGACCUUAUGUAAGAAAACUCUACUAUAACAUUAUUUCCAUGCUUUGUCAAUAAUAACAAACUUAAAAACAUAUUGAAAUCUUGAUAUACUUACCUUGUUCUAUUGAUACUAAUCUUUAACUUAAUUUUCUCUCUCCUCCAGCUUCUAUUUCUUGAAUCCAACUUGAUAUUCUAACUCCCCAUGCUCUCCUUAACAUUUUUGUCUCUUGGUAGCUAUGGAAAUUCAUUUGAUUUUUGAGUGAAAAUGGUGAAUUUUUGGUAAAAGGACCAAAUUGUAAAGAAAGCAAAACUUUCUUUCUUCCUCUCUUUCUCUCACGUUAGUGCAUGGGAAAAUAUGGAUGAGAAUUUCUCAUCUUUCUUUCUUUAUAUACUAAUAAAAUAAUAAUAAAAUAUCUUAUUAAAGUAUUAAUAAAAUAAUAUUUAUCUAAUUAAAUAAUUAUAAAAUAUUAAAAUAUCUCUAGCAUCAUUAUUACUUUCUAGAUUUCUCUCUCUUCCAAUUGACUAUUUUGCCCUUCAUUAUCUUUUAAAAUUCCAUCCUUGAGUCAUCAUUUAAUUUGGUAAAAUUGCAAUUUAGUCCCUCAUAGUUCUUCAUCUAUUCAAUUUGGUCCUAAUUCAUUCAUUUUCCUUAGUUUCUAGAUCAUUCCACUCUUAAAUUAUUUACACUAUUGGUCCUUCAACUUUUUCAUAUUUACACUUUAACCCCUCAAAUUAUGAAUAUUUACUCUUGUGCAACAAAACUUUUCUCACUUUUACAAUUUAGUCCUUUCUUGAAUUAAUAUAUCAUAAUAUACUUCUCAAUAUUGACAUAACUCAAAAUUUCCCUUUUUGUCACUUUAUUUCCUUAUUUUACUAUAUCAAGGAUAAUAUCUUACUGUAAAAAUUUUCAGGGUAUUACACAUUGGGUUUUUUUGGGUUGUUAGGUUUAAAUUGGGCUGAUUAGUUUUGGGUUUGGGAUCUGUUUAGUUGGUUGAGUUUUAUUGGGUUGAUGUAAUUGGCUAUUAAUGGGAUUUUGAUGUAAACGGGCCAAAAUUGGCCUACAACAGAAAUGGGCCCAAAAGAAUUAAGUUCGUGAAUUGCAUCAUGAAAAUUAUUCAAAUGAGUUUAUUAAUGAAGUUGUGAUUUGCAGGAUGAAAUAGUUUAACUAAUACAUAUAUAAUUGUGUACAGUGUUCAAUAAGAUUUGUGUUAUUAUGCCUAUGAGCUUACUAAGCUUCUAUAAGCUUACUUGUGUAUGUGAUUUGUUUUGUAGAUUGACUUAUAUACAUACGGAGGAUCGAAUCUACAUCAAGGGUCACACUAUCCAGAUUUACUCCAGUAGAUUUUGUUAAACAACUUUUUGGUUUAUAUGGCAUGUAUAGGAGUUGAUUUGAUAAUGAAAUUGUGUGAAUGAUUAAGUAUGCAAAGCAUGUUGAAUGUGAUGUUUUAUGUUUGAAAAUGAAAUAUACAUGUUUUGGUUUAAAAUAAAUGAUUAGAUGGAUUUUAUUAGUGUAUAGUUGUGUUUAAGUAUAGGAAAUGGAUAAAUGAAUGUUAUUUGAUCAACAUUUUAUAACUCAAUGUUUUGGGCAUGAUCUAGGUUAUCUAGGUGUGUUUGAUAUGUGAAAACAGCUUAAAAAUGGUGAAAAAUGAGGUUUUCACACGGCCAAGUCACAUGGGCGUGUGCCCAGGCCGUAUGGAAAAGUCAGAAUCUGCCCAUGGGUAGGCCACACGGGUGUGUCCCAGGCCACACGGGCAUGUGCCCCUAUCUUCAAGGAAAAAAUUUCUAAAUUUGUCGUUUUAGUUCCGAAUCACUUCUAAAACAUAGUGGGCCCCGUAGACCCAUAUUAAGGACUUUAAGAUGAAAUUUGAUAAGAAUUGAUCUGGAAUGUAAAGCUUAUGACUCGGUUUUGUAUAAAUGUUAGUAUAUAAGUCCGGUAAUGCUUCGUAGCCCUAUUCCAGUGACGGCUUGGGGUUAGGAGGUGUUAUAGGAAUGGUGUGUAUUUUUUAUUUGGUUAUUUUCAUGGGAUAAAUAUGUAAAUUUAACCUUAAAUCUUAUAUAUUAGUGUUUAAAUUUAUAUUUAAGGAUUAAGAAAAUUUGUUAGGAUUUUGAGUUUAAAUAUUUUUGUUGCGUAAGAGAGGAAGAAGUGGCAAGUCACAUAUUUAUGGUAUUCCUGAUUAAACGAAUCCUAACAAAAUAUUCAAGUAACUCGACACCUGUGAGUGUUGAGGUCUAUUUUUUAAAUCAUCAAUUAUUCUUAUCAUCCAUUAGUGCACUUAUUAGGAAAAUCUUAGAACGUUAAAUAUCUCGACACCUGUGGGUGUCAAGUUUAGACCAAAAACAUUAAACCUUAGAAAGAGAAACCUAAUCUUAAAUCCUAACCCUAAUUUAAAGCCCUAAACUCGACACUUAAUGAUGCCAAAGUUUAAUCUUCUUUUUAGAGAUUCCUUUGACAUGGAUUCUCAAGAGGAGCAACAAUUUUAUAAGACAUGACAUGGAACUAGAUACUUGUGGGCGUUGAGUUCAGUGCAUAGUACAUCGUCAAUCAUGUUUUCGAGUUUAACAACAUCUUUUCUUUAUAAAUAUGCAUGAAAUUUUAUCCAUUUGUUAAUACCCCUAAACCAAUUAUCACUCUAAACCUUACCCCAUUUACCUUAAAUAAACCAUUCGAUAAAGUCUCAUUACAAUUAGUUUUCUUCAACUUGUUCAAGUUUUAGAUGCAAAAAAAAAACACAACAUAUAUGAUUGAGUGUACAAAAAGGUUAAUCAUUAAUAUGGUACGUGUAUUUAGGGACGAAGCCAAUAAUUCCAAAAUUAGGCCAAAAUAAAAUUUUAAAGUUUUGGGGUAAAGAUAAAUAUUUUGUUUAAAAAUUACUUAAAAGAUAAAUAUUAAGGGCUACACUCUUGCAUGUAUUACUUAUAUCACCUUUAUCAUGUUUAAAUAUACUAAUAUAUCAUCUUUUUUGCAUAGUGUCCGUCAUCAUCAAAUAUUUAAUGUUCAUGGGUAUUUAUAGCUCUUAAAUUUUAUUCUACUAUAAGAGUUAUUAACAAUUUUACAAAUUAAAUUGUGGAAUUAGUGAUGAAUAAAAAUUGAAUUGAUUUAAUUGAAAACUAAUGAUAAAAACUUAAUUUUAUUAAAAUGAUUUUUAAAUAAAUUUAUAUCCGGUUUACGAUUCAUGUUUCGAGUUUAUGACAUUCACUCUUAAUAAUAUUAUAUUCAAAAUUCAAAAUUCAAAAUAAAAUAAAAUUCAAAGUUUUAACCUCUUAUUAAGAGAAAUACAUGUUUUAUUAAUUAAUUACUACUUUUAAUAUUUGGUUUAUAUUUCAAUUGAUUAAUCAAGUUGGAUCAAUUGCUAAGACAAACUAAACUUUGACAAUGCCAAAUAUCCCACAUCACCAAGUACAACAAAAGCUUAGGCUUUAUACUAAGUCACUCUUAAACAGUCACGUGCCGAGCUAAGUAACAAGAGCUUAUAACCCAAGGUGGGGGCAUUAAGGUGGCUUGGGAAGAGAGAAAAUCGAACAACCAGUUAGCUUGGGAAGGGGUUUAGUGGGCCUUUGUUGGCUCAGCCAUGUGAGGGGGGUGAAAUUUCAGAGCAGCAAACGACUCCUGGCGGAUUAAACUGAGUCAAUACCCCUUCUAGCACCGUUGGCUCGCUCUUUCUCUAUCACCUCCAACCUUUUUCUUUAAAACACCAUUAUUCAUUUUUUCUUUCUUAGUCCUAGAAAAGAAAAAAAAUAUAACCUAAAUAUUGUAUAAUUUGAUUUUUUUUUCAGUUUUAUUUUAUUUGGGACAUUAAAUUUUUUGUAUAAUUUGAUUUUUUUUUUCAGUUUUAUUUUAUUUGGGACAUUAAAUUUUAGUUUUAAAAGAAUGGAGAAAGAUAAAAAAAAUAUUGUUUUAGAUUUUUAGAUUUUUUUUUAUUUUAGAUAUAUUUUCAAUUAAAUCUAGGUGAUAAAUUUUUUUUUUAGCUUUUUAAGUGAAAGGAGGGUCACAAAAAAAAGUAAAAUUAAAAAAAAAAUCAAAUUAUACAAAGUUAAUUUUUUUAAAACUUAAAUUAAAUCGACAUUGUAGACCCAAUUUUCAGCCCGGCCUAAACCACCAGGAACCUAAAACCAAAUACAAGCCAAUUAAAGCCCAAAUACCUACAUUUAAGUCCAAAUCACAGCCCAAAUCAAACACCUAAAACAAAAUUACAAACCAAGCCCAAUUACAUAAACCCCAACAGCCCAAAAAAAUAAUAAAAACAAAAACAAAAACACCAUCAGCCGUCACAACCCAGGGCAGUCUCCAGGCACCGCACGUCUCGCGCUUCCUCCGCGUCAUGCGCUGCUCCACCAUGCCACAUCAGUGAUGCACUCACGCACGUACCUGCAAACAAGCUAAAGAGGUUGUAAAAAUCGGCUAUAAAGCCAAACCGAACCAAGUGUAAGGGGGGGUCUUUUUUUUGGAGAAAAAUAGCAGAAUACACACAAAAGAGGAAUCAAUAAAAAAAUCAAACUCAAAAUUCUAAAGGUUACUUUACUUCUUCUUUGGGUCUUUUUUUUUGCUUUAUAUUUACGUUUCUUUUUUCUUUCUUAUUUAUUUAUUGGGUUUUAUGCAAAUAUAUUUGAAACAAGAAUUAAAGAGAAGGUUUACCUGGGUCUUAGUGAUUUAGAACCCGAAUGCCGGAGAAAUGUGAAGGUUCGGGCAGGGGAUUUCAUCCAUGGCUAUAACAGUGGCCUUCUUUCUCGCCGAAUUUGGCUCGUGUAGAGAGAUUUCUCUCUGUUUUUAAAAAUGAAUAAAGAGGGUGAUGCUUUAAAUUUUUGGGUGUACUAAAAGUUUUUUUAAGGUUAAAAUAAAAGGAAACAAAUAAGUUUCAGUGGGUAAGGAAACAAAUCAGCAUUGGGGAAUGGAAUUAGUGCGCCUUUUGGCCUGGGUCCACGCGCAUUGUACCUUCCAAUGGGUAAUUUCCGCAAUCAGGCCCCUCCUUUGCGUUAGUCUUCAAUCGGGCCAUGUUAAGUUUCUUAAAUUAUUUUAAUUUAUCCCUGUAACCUACGCACUAUUUCAAUUUGGCCCUCCCCUUUAGUGCAGUAUUUUAAGAUUUGGGGCAUUUUCAAUUUCAGACCUCGAACAUUUAUGCGCAUUUAAUUUUAGCCCAAAAUUCUGUUUUAAUAAUUUGUUUUACUUAUAAAUUAUCCCCUGGAUUUUGUUUUUUCCUCUCAAUUAAAUUUCAGUUAUUUCUUUAGAAUAAUUAUGUUUCAACAUAUUAUUUUGAUUUCAUACUUUUGUGAUUUUUUUUUCAUGUGCGUACCUGUUUAUAUGGAAUACCUUUAUAUAUUAUUAUUACUACUAUAUGUAUUAUUUAUAUUAAGCUUUUCCUGUGUAUAUAUUACUUUAUAUAUUAUUUACUUUUAAUCUUUUAUGCAUAUUUUUUUUUUGGAAUUUCAUUUACGCUACAUAUUUUUUUUCCUUAUUUUUUUUAUUUUGAUACAAUUCAAGCUUUCAUUCAAAUUAUUUACUUUAUAAUAUUUAUUUUAAAAAUUCAUUUGUACAUUACCAUUUGAUAAAUUAUUUCUUUUAUUUUUUUCCCUAUUUUUUUAAAAUUCCUAUAUUUAUUACCUAUUUAGAAUUUUCUUAUAGUUUAUAUAGUUAUAUUUCCAAAUUUUCCUUUUCCUAUUAUUUAUUUUAUUUUAUUUAAAAAAAACUUGUUAUAUUUUAUUUGGGUGAUUUAUUUGAAACUUCUUUUAAAAUUGGUUUCUUAUGCAUUGACUCUUGGACAUAAAUGGUGGUAUUUUUAUAAUAUAUGAUGUGCUGUUAUUGCAUGUAUUCUAAGUUGUUCCUUUGCAUUUCCCUAUUAUUUUAGAUUAUUCAUGAGAUGUUAUUGCCAUGUGUUUUAUUCCUUAUGUUAUCAAGUUUUUUUUAUAAAAAUACAUUUCAUUUAUUUAUUACAUUUCAUUUGAAAUUUUAAAUAAGGCAACGUUCAGUAUUUGAAGAAUUUAAAGGAUCGUGCCCUAACGUACUGGGUUUCGCUUUCUUUGUUUGUUUUGAAUAUUCCGAAUAUCCUUUUAAAGCUAAAACGCACAUUUUAAAGGCAAUAUCACAUUUGAGGGUCGAAAAUGUUGUGUCCUAACGUACUGGAUGUAAUGUUUUACCUCAAGAUGAGAUAGUCUUUAAUACACAUUUGACUUGCCUAAAUGUUUUAAAAGCCAAUAAAAGGAGGAUCGCAUUUUGAACUCUAUUCAAAUUUUUAAUUUUCGGCAUUUAAGACACUAAUUAAUUGAUUAAGUACCAAUUUUGGGCGUGUCGAGGGUGCUAACCCUUCCUCGUACGUAACCGACUCCUGAACCUGUUUUCUUAAAAUUCGUAGACCAAAAUGUUUUAUAAGGUGGCCCAAUUACACCUCAAAAAGGAUUAGUGGCGACUUCCAAUUUUCGUUUUCAAAAGUCGAUUCCCGUUUUUCAAAAAAUGGUUUCGACAGCUUGGCGACUCCACUGGGGACCAAUAAGAGAGUCGAGCUGUAAAUUGAUUAUUUUCUGUCUUUUUGUUGAAAUUUAGAAAUUUAGUUUUCCUAAAAAUACACGAUCAUCGCUUUGUAUUUUCUGUGCCAUUGUUGAGUUUGUUUUUUUCCGUUGAAUUUCUUUAUAUACUCUCGUAUCAUAUCGCAUGACCGUUGUGGUCACACCUUUUAAGUGGGAGUGAGAAACUAUGCUUUUGUGAGGUUUUCACCUCCGCAUGGGCUAGGGGAUCGCUUCCGGAAUACAUCUGUACUUAUGUCUUCGUGAGGUUUUCAUCUCCGCAUGGACAUAAGGAAAUGUAUUCCCCUGAACCAAACUUGAUCCAUAUGAACCUAUAAUGGGUGAGGAUCGAGGAAUCUGCUAGUUCAAGUACUUUUACUCUAGAACUAAACCACAUAUAGUGAGCUGUAGGAACCCGCCUUAGGUAGAAUUACAGCUAGCCUUAGUGGUUGCCCGAAUAGGCGUUUGAUAAUUUCUUGAUUGCUUUGAUUUCUAUUCUUAUGCAUGAUUCUGACUUGUGUUUUUCCUUCUUUCUUUAAUAGUGAUUGCAUAACAUUUUCAUCAUAAAAGGGAGGUGUCGAUAUACGGUUCGGUUACUAAUAGAAAGUUUUGCCAUGAAGAACGAAUUCUUUGAUAAAGUGAAAGACAACGCGUUUGUCCAAAGAUGGUCGGAGAAUGCACAGUUAGAAAAAGGUGACAGUUUGACAGAGGGGUACACGUCGGAGUUAUGGGACUUUACCCGUAUUAGUGUGGUUCAGAAUGAUCUUUAAGAGUUGAAAGAAUUAUGGAGUCACUGGGAUGAGGAGAUGAAGCAACUACUCUACUGUAAUUAUGGUGAUAUUCCUUAUCUCCUCGAUGUUAAGGUAGAUAGGUAUUUGUUCCGCACCAUGGCUCAAUUUUAGAAUUCCGCCUACAGUUAUUUUACUUUUGGAAAGGUGGAUCUAGCACCUACUGUCGAGGAAUAUACAGCCUUGCUUCGUUGUCUGAGGUUUCAAGUUGAUAAGAUUUAUUCUAGAGCUGUCAAUACCCCAACCUUUGUAAAGAGGUUGAUGAAUAUCACUGGGAUGAGUGAGCAGUGGGUUGCAGCUCGAGUCCAGCAGAAAGGCAGUGGAAAGUGCAUCCCUUGGGAGAAUUUGAGAGAGUUGAUCCUGACACACCUUGAUAUGAAGAAAAGAGUUGAUGUUUUCGCCUUGAGCGUUUAUGGUUUUUUUUAUUUUCCCUAAGGCUUUAAGGCAUGUAGAUGAAGCAGUUGCCGAUCUAUUUGACGGAUUUGGUAAAUGAGUCACUCCUGUUCCUGCAAUCUUGGCUGAGACUUUCAGAUCUUUGAGUGCAUGUCGGAGGGCAGGUGAAGGAAGAUUUAUUGGGUGUGCACAACUCUUGUUAGUAUGGUUUCAUAGUCACUUUUGGAGGGUAGAAAAGGCCUCUUACCGACCUUUUCUUGAAGAUUACUCACCUUUGAAGGAGUAGUAACCAUAUCGAGAAGAGAUGACAUAACAGAGGAAAAAUGGAUGGCGAUACUUCAAAAUAUCCAAGAGGAGGAUAUCGAAUGGAAGGCCCCUUGGAUGGUUUCUGAUGAGAUUCUCUACCGAUGUGAGAGUUAUGAUUGGGUCCCUUUGUUGGGGAUUUGGAGAGCCGUUGGAUACGCCCCUCUGCUUGUAUUGAGGUAAUAUAGAUCGAGACAAUUUAUACCGGUGACGCAUGGGCUAGCUCAGAGUGGGUUCUCGUAUAGAGAGAAAGACUCCAAGAAAAAGAGCCGCGAGAGUUAUAAUGCCUGGAACCAAACCUGUCGGAUAAAGGGAGUUGCUAUGAAUCCAAUGGUGACUCUUGAAUAUAAUGAAUGGUGGAGUAGAAGGGUUAACGACAAUAUCCCGAGGCCAAAUUUAGAAAAAGCUCGACCGAUAGAGGAAUAUCUGCGAGUGGUCCCCUCCGAAUUGGAAAUCAUAAAGCAAGACUUCGAAAAGAAAACCUCGGAGUUAGAAAGGAAAAUAGAGAAGUUGGAGGAGGAAAAAGUAUACUUAAAGUUGGAUGUUGAUGUUCAAAAAUCCGAGGCUGAUAAUUUGAGAAAGAGAAAGAGAGAGGUUGAGGAGGACCUGGACAGUAUGAAGACUGAUUACAAGCAGCUGCAUAAGUCAAUGAGAAAUGCUGGCUUGGGUAAAACGUCUGAACAGUGGAGGCAAGAAAUCCAAGAGGAAAAGGCUAGGGCUGAUUGGUGGGAAAGAAAGUUCCACGAUGCUCAGGCUCGAGAAGUCGCUUGUAAAAAGAGUUUAGACGAUAGCCAGAAUGAAAAACAGAUGUUAAGAGCUUGGGUGGCAGAGUUAGAAACGACACUACAGCAACAUCGGAGUCGUGACUCAGUGAUUGAAUUAAGGGCUAGCCUAAGUAAGAUCGAGAAUUUGAAGGGGAAAGUAGAAGAACUUGAGACUACACUUCAGAACUGUGAAUAUCAAAUUAAAUUGUUGGAAGCAAAUAAUGACUCACCGAUCUCAGGAUCAGGUCUGAGAUAGGGAUUACUUAAUGGGCGAAGCUAUAGCUCAGAUACGAGAGGUGGCUGAUCAUUUACAGACUUUGGCGGUCCAAGCAGAUGUGCUAGGAGUUAAAUAUGAGUUACAGUCAGAUCGAGGGCGAGAGUUAGCCUACCUUCUUAAGAAAGUAAAAGAUUUAGGUGUUAGGGCAAGACCGUAUAUGUAAUUCAUUUUAUAUAAAAGAUUUUGUUUUUCAGUAAAGUUUUCUAAAUGAAAUUGAAUGCGAAUCGAUGUCUUCUUUUUGCAUUCAUGUCAUGCAUUUGCAUUGCAUUACAUCGCAUAACAUCAUAUACACAAAAGAACCCUAUUAAUUAGUGGCCAUUUAUCUAGUUACCUUGGAACACCGGUACUACACACGAAGGAAAACAAAGGAUAUGGAUCAGAGGUUUGAGCAAAUGCAAAAGGAGAUGCAAGAGCAACUGCAAGCUCAGAUGCAAGAGCAGCUGGCUAAAAUCCAGUAGGAAAUGAGAGACCAAAUGCUGGAGUCCCAGAGAAACAUGCUAGAAUCACAAAACAACAUGAUAAGCCAGCUGACACAGCUGUUUAAAGGAGGGUCUGACAAAGGAAAAGGCCCUAUGGUUGACACGGGAAAUGACAAUGAGGAUUUCGCUUUUCCUACAAGUUUUGCACCAGUGAACAUGCAAACAUAACCACCAAGGGUGUCUGUUAAUGUCCAACCUCUUUAUCAAACUGGUACCUCGGCACCAAUAACUUCCCAGCAGGAUCGAGCACCAACCCUGGAGAUAAUCUGGCAAACCCCCUGGUCCCUGACUUUGACAACGCAGCAGAGGUAGAAAAGACAAAGGCUGAGGUCCCAAAACAAUUUGAGGAUCGAUGCAAAUGGUUGGAGGAAAAGUUCAAGGAGUUAGAGAAUGCUGAUCAUUACUGCGGAAUCGAUGCAAAGGAACUGAGUUUGGUCCCGGACUUAGUACUUCCCCCGAAGUUUAAAAUGCCGGAGUUUGAAAGAUAUAGCGGAACCAGCUACCCUGAGGCUCACAUUACGAUGUUUUGUCAAAGGAUGACGGGGUAUGUCAACAACGAUCAACUGUUGAUCCAUUGUUUUCAGGACAGUUUGAGUGGGGCUGUAGCGAAAUGGUACAAUCAAUUGAGUAGGUGUAACACUCCAAGCCUAAGUCCGAUCGCCGGUUUAGGCUAUAAGGUAUUAUUGAGCUAAACAUUUAAUUUUUCAUUCACAAAAUUAACAAUAAAAGCAGAAAUUUAGCUGAAUACAUACUGAACCUUGAGUUAUAAAUGUCAUUUUCAUAUAGCCAAAAUAUUUACAAUUACAAAACAUAUUCGUCAACAGCCUAAUCUAUACAUGCCAUAUCGAGUCCAAAAUAUAACUGUACCAAAAAGAUCGAUAGUAUGAAGAACUGCUGACGAUCCCCGAGUCGGCGGCCAGAGUCAACAAUCUAUAAAACAGAGAAAUAAGAAUUUGAGUAAGCUUUCGAGGCUUAGUAAGUUUUAAGCAAUUUAUACUAUUAAAGCUUGUCAUUAAAAUUGAACAUUGAGAAUCACAAAACUUGUAUUCUAAUUGUAAUUCACUUGACCAAAUAUACACCAGCACAUUAGUUACAAAACCCAUUGGCCGAAUAUAUAUGUAUAUAUACACAAGAAACUUCUUGCACAUAUUUUACUAUUUACAAAGAUUAUACUAAUACCUUUAAUUACGUUCUUUCAUAUGAUGACUUACAAUAACCAAUUAUAUUGUUUUCUUAUCCUCAAAUACCGAAUUCAUUCACACACACAUAUAUAUAUCGUUCUUUGAUAUUAGUAAAUCACUUAGAAAUCAAUUCAAAUAUGAGUACAUAACACGAACCUUAACGUGUAAAAUAUAUAAUACUUAUGCAACGAUGUUUACCACUGACAUUCGAAGUCGCAAUCUUACUUAACUUACUGGCAUCGGUUUUGUCAAAUCUUAAAGCUCGGAAUACAUUACUAACAUAAGCCUGCGGGUCUUUAACCCAGAUAUUUUUCCAGUACGUAGCCUGCAGACCUCAAGUCCGGAUAUAUUUCUAGCAUAUAGCCUGCAGAUCUCAUGUCCGGAUAUUUUUCCAGCAUAUGGCCUCGGACCUCAUGUCCGGAUAUUUUUCCAGCAUAUAGCCUGCGGACCUCAUGGCCGGAUAUUUUUCCAAUCUCAUAUAUAUUUGAUCAUAUUUUAACACAUCUCAGUCAUCUUAUCACUUAAUAAUCGUAUAUUACAUUCGAAUAUAAACUCGAUACGCACAUCAUCAUUCACAUUUCAGCUCAAUGGUUAUAUCUCAUAUCACUCAUUCUCUUCACCAUUUAAUCUUAAAUUCAAAGUGACCAUCAAACUAUAAGUCAUAUACAUGCAUUAUCUAUUAUACAUCUUAAUUCAAGUGCAAGCCAAAGAUCACAAUUUACCUACUAUACUCUUAUAAUGGCAUCGUCAAUUAUAUACUAAAGGAAACUACUUAAGACUUACCUUGGAUAUUUUAAACAGUUGCGGGUAAUCUACUCGACUGCUUUCUCCUUUCCCUUAUCUGAUUUAGACCCUCUUAGCUCUUGAGCUUGAUUCAAACAAAUAGAUCUAUUUAAUUUCUUAUCAAUUUAACAAUUCGAUUUAAUACAUGUAUAUCGUGCCAUUAAGUACAAAUGAUUUUAUUAACUAGCUAUUUAAACGUCAUACAUAUGCUCUACUCAUGCAUAAUCGAAAAUAUUACUAGCGUAUUACCUUGCAUUUUCGAAUUACAUAACCAUCACUUAAUUUCAUAAAAAAAAAUACACAUAUUAUUUCAGAUUAACACAAGAAUCAGAUGCAUCACUCAAAAUGCCAAAGUCCGACUAAGUCUACCAUUAUAGCAUUAUCAAGUUUAUGUAUUUGGUAAUUCACAUUCAAACACAUUCGGCAUUAUGUAUCUGAUCAAAUGUUUCAUUUAACGCUAAACUCAACUUAUAACCUUCCCUAAUUAAAACAUUCAACACUGACUAGACAUGCUUACAUGCCUAAGCCGAAUAUCAUUUUAGACAUUUGAGAAAUCAUUUCUCAAUUCAUCUUAUUAGUGUUACCUCACUCAAAACAUUUACACCAAUCCAUUAUAAUUAAAACCCUUGUUCAAAAUAAUAUUCACUAUAAUACUAUGGCCGAAACUCCCAAAUAACUAACAUAGUCUCUUAGAUUCAAUAUAAUCACGAAUAUAUAUAUAUAUACAACCUAAAUUCCUCUCUUAACACAUAAUUUACUAUCUUGGAAUUCAUUUCCUAACUAAAUUAACUUACUCCAAAGCCGAAUGCUACUUAAGCAUUAAGCUCAUGUUCUUUUCAUUAUUAAGCAAUUUUCAUAACUCAACUAACAUCCAUUUUCAAUUUAACAUCAACAUUAAAAAAAAUUUAACACAAAAAUUCAUAGCCGAAUGUUGUUUAUUUUAAGCUACCAUUAUAUAAUUACUUAUCACUUCAUACCAUAUUAUCAAAAUUGAACUAAUUAUACUUAUAUAAGUACUAUCAAAGCCGAAACCUAUGCAUAGCAUUAUUCAAGAUUUAUACCCUUAAAAUCAUUUACAAGGCCGAAUUUGUUCAAGUAACUCAACAAGUCCAAGUUCAUCUAUUUCAUAUAUAAAUACUAACAAUUAAGUAUUAACUAGUUCAAACUUCAUUUAACCAUAAGAACAACAAUCUAUCCCCUUCAAUUUCUCCCAUGGCCGAAUGCUCAAGACACCACACAACUCAAAAUUUUGUCAUGGGUUAAGUAAAGAACUUAAUAACUAACUCAAAAUAUGCUAAAAAUCCAAGAAUUAACAUGAAUUACUUACCUUAUUUAAAGUUCAAGAUCACUGAAUGGUUUGUUCUUUUCCUUCUUUAAAAUCGGCUAGGAAGAAACAAGGAUGAAUACUUUGUUUUCUUUACCCAUUUUCUACCUUUAAUUAUUAUUAUUCUAUAAUUUAAAGCCAUUUAAUUAAAAAUAAUGCUAAUAGAAAAUUCAUAUAUUUUAUACUAACUAACAACAUGGCCGGCCACUAUCAAAAAUGGGUAAUUUGACAUGCAAAACCAUUCUUUUCAAUACAUACAUUAUUAGACCACCUUUAAAAAUUACCUAUCAUCUUUCACAUUUUUCUCACAUAAGUCCCAUUUAAUAAUUUCAUAUACAAAUGACAAAAUUAAAGCAUGAAACUUUCACAUAUGCAUGUACACAUAUAAUAAGCAUAGAAUAUAACAAUUAAUUAUUUUUGUGACUCGAUUUUGUGGUCCCGAAACCACUUUCCGACUAGGGUCAAAUUAGGGAUGUCACAGUAGGACCUAAGUCAAGUCGUGGAAGGACCUAGCUCAGGCCUUCAUGAAGCAGUAUGGCCAUAUAACGGAUAUAGCACCUGACCGGAUCACACUCCAGAAUAUGGAGAAGAAGCCAAGUGAAAGCUUCUGGCAGUAUGCUCAGAGAUUGAGAGAGGUCGCUACACAGGUCCAACCACCAUUGCCAGAAAAAGAAACAACCAUGCUCUUCAUCAAUACAUUGAAGGCGCCUUUCAUUACUCACAUGUUAGGUAAUGCAACAAAGAGUUUCACGGACAUAGUAAUGUUUGGAAAAAUGAUAGAAAAUGCCAUAAGAUCGGGUAAGAUAGAAGUUGGGGAGAACACGAGAAGGUCAGCCCCGAAGAAAAGAGAGAAUGAAGUAGGUAAUGUGAGCUCAGGCUACGCAAAACCUGCCACUGUUAAUCAGUCAAGGGCGAUAAUCACAGGCCAGCAGGCCUCACCAAGGCGGGAGCCUAACACGAGACAGAAUACAGAGAAAUUUCAAUUCACUCCCAUACCAGUGACAUAUAGGGAGUUGUACAAAAGUCUGUUUGAUGCAUAUAUAGUGGCUCAUUUCCACUUAGAGCCGUUGCAGCCCUCAUACCGUAAGUGGUACGACGUAAAUACUCAGUGUGAAUACCACACAGGGAUUACGGGGCACUCGAUAGAAAACUGUACCUCGUUCAAAAGGUACGUGAAAAGGCUUAUCAAAGCAGGUGUUGUAAAAUUCGAUGAUACACCUGGUACGGGAAAUCUGUUGCCCAGUCAUACUGAUAAAGGGGUAAACGCGAUAAUUGAGAAUAUGGGGAGGAAAGUCAAGCUGAAUUUCGCGGAGGUGAGAACCCCAUUGAAGCUAGUUUAGAAGGAAAUGCAGAAGAGAGGUUUAGCCCUGCAGGGGUUGGGGGAUAAAAUCUAAUAUACACAAAACUACUGUGAGUUCCAUCAUGAGAAAGAUCACGAGAUCUAGAAUUGUAUUGAGUUCAGGGCCCUUGUACAGGGUCUAAUGGAUAAUAAGGAAUUGGAGUUCCUCGAGUCUGUUGAAGAGGGGGAUGUAUGCUCUCUAGGAGGAGAGUCAAGUGAAGAAGGUUGCAGAGCCAGCUGUCCAGUGAUAAUUAUUUCGAAGCCCAGAAUUAGUGAAGUAGAAGCAAGAGUUACACCAAGAGUUAUAAUCCGGAAGCCAACAGCUUCCCCUUAUAAAGAUAGCCAUAGGGUGCCUUGGAAUUAUAAUUGUAGUAUAGCAGUUUUAGAGAAGGAAGGUUUGAUUAGCACGCCAAACACAGAAGGUAAACCAGUAAAAGGGAAACCCGUCAUACUCAAGAAAGAAGUAGAGAGAUCAGAACCACUGGUUAAUGAGCCAGUAAUGGAAAAUGAAACCAAUGAGUUCUUGAAGUUCCUAGGACACAGCGAGUAUAGUGUUGUGGAACAACUACACCAACAACCGGAUCGCAUAUCGAUAUUGGCUCUGCUGUUAAAUUCGAAGGUCCACCGCAACGUAUUGAUGAAAGUGUUGAAUGAAACCAAUGUUGCGGAUGACAUUUUGGUUAACAAAUUGGAUCGUCUCGUCGGUAACAUAAGCGUUAAUAAUUUCAUCUCCUUCAGCGAUGAUGAGAUACCACUAGGGGGUAGAGGGUCUACUAAGGCUCUGCAUGUCACUACACGUUGCAAGGGGUAUACGCUACUCGGAGUACUAGUUGAUAAUGGGUCCGCAUUGAACGUAUUGCCUUGGGCUACGUUAAACCGUUUACCUAUAGACAGUUCUCAUAUGAAGACGUGUCAGAACAUAGUAAGAGCAUUUGAUGGCACAGAAAGGAAAGUAAUGGGAAGGAUAGAGGUACCUCUUCAGAUUGGCCCAAACACGUGCGAGGUAGAUUUUCUUGUGAUGGAUAUUAAGCCUUCCUAUAACUGUCUAUUAGGAAGACCUUGGAUUUACUCAGCUGGGGCAGUGCCAUCCUCGCUGCACCAGAAGCUAAAGAUGAUUACUGAGGGACAGCUAAUAACAAUAAAUGCGGAGGAGGAAAUUAUUGCGUCAGUUACCAGUGAUGCACCCUACAUAGAGAAUGAUAACGAAGCAUUUGAAUGUUCAUUUCGAUCAUCAGAGUUUGUAAACGCAACGUUUAUAGCUGAAGGAAGCAGGAUUCUGAUACCUAAGAUAUUAGGGGCUACGAAAAUGAGCCUGCAGCUGAUAGUUGGGAAAGGGUCGUUACCUGGCAGAGGACUCGGGAGGCACCUCCGUGGAUAAGUUAGAGUGUCAAUCUUGGUUGGCAAGUGGGAUCGCUUCGGUUUGGGAUUCAGGCCAGAUGCAAGCCAAGUGAAGAAGGAGUUUGAAAGAAAACAAGAACAGCGGAGAGCAAAGAUUGAGUGGGACAGAAGUCAGGUGGGAAUCGAUGAACUUCCCCCACAUUUCCCAAACAUUUGUAUUUGAAGGGUUUAUUCAUUCUAUACAUUAUAAGGUGAAAGAAGGAAUGGCUGAAGAUGCGAUAGGAAUUUGAAGCAUCAAUGCCACAUUUGAAGAGGAAGCAAUGGAAAGGAAUUUAUCAGACAUUUGCCUGUAUGAGCCUAGGAGUGUUUUGGAUAACUGGACUGAGGAAGAAAUUCCUGUAAUCUUUAGAGCUAACACAGAGUAAUAUUCAAAACCUACCUGUUGUCUUCUAGCCUAGGGACAAUAAGAAUCUUUUGUGAAAUAGGCUCAUGUUCAAACAUUAUUAUUUUCAAUAAAAAAUGCAUUUUCAUAUAUCGGUUCGAGCAAUUAUUCUUUUUUCCUUUUCAUUUCAUACACAAUCAUACCAUACAAAGGAAUUAUCCAUUUCGUUUUCUUUGGGUAUUCUCUUAUACUCAUAAUAGGCCCCCGGAUGUCCACGUCAUGAGAAAUACUGAUGCGAGCUCGAAAUUUCCUUUGGAGUGAGACAUGUGCUUUAAGGGACUUCAAGAUUUUGAAGAGGAUGAGGAUUGUGGUUUACCUCCCGAUUUGUUAAGGAUGGUGGAGCGAGAAGAGGAACAGAUCCUGCCACACAAAGAGACUACUGAGAUUGUGGCCCUAGAAGAGGGGAAGGAAGUUAAAAUUGGCACUUGCGUUAACGAGAAAACAAGACAGAGCCUCAUUGAGCUGUUACAAGAAUUCAAAGACGUAUUUGCAUGGUCAUACCAGGAUAUGCCUGGUCUAAGUACUGAUAUCGCAGUGCACCGUGUCCUUACAAAAAAGGAGUGCAAGCCAGUUCAGCAGAAGUUCAGAAGGAUGAGACCCGAUGUAGCAAUGAAAAUAAAGGAAGAAGUCAAGAAGCAGUUUAAUGCUGAAUUCCUACAGGUGGUUAAUUAUUCAGAGUGGGUUGACAAAGUCAUCCCUAACCCUAAGAAAGAUGGGAAAGUGCGGAUGUGUGUAGAUUACAGAGAUUUAAACAAGGUCAGCCCAAAGGAUAACUUUCCAUUGCCUCACAUAGACACUCUAGUGGAUAAUACAGCAGGCUAUUCACUGUUCUCCUUCAUGGAUGGGUUCUCCGGGUACAAUCAGAUCAAGAUGCAUCCUAAGGACAUAGAAAAAACCACAUUCAUAACUUUAUGGGGAACGUUUUGCUACAAGGUGAUGCCCUUCGGGUUGAAAAAUGCAGGAGUCACAUACCAAAGAGCCAUGGUAACCUUGUUCCAUGACAUGAUGCACAAGAAAAUUGAGGUCUACAUUGACGACAUGAUUGCAAAAUCCCGAACUGAAGAGAAGCAUGUACGAGUGUUUAGAAAAUUGUUCCUCAGGUUGAGAAAAUUCCAAUUAAAGCUCAAUCCGUCAAAAUGCACCUUCGGAGCUAGGUCCGAAAAGUUACUCGGCUUCGUAGUCAGUGAGAAGGGAAUAGAAGUUGACCUUGAUAAAAUCAAGGCUAUACAGGAGCUGCCUCCGCCACGAACUCAGAAAGAAGUCCGAGGUUUCUUAGGGAGACUAAACUACAUCGCACUAUUUAUUUCGCAACUGACUGAGAAGUGUGACCCCAUAUUCCAUCUUCUUAAAAAGCAUAAUCCUGGGGUAUGGGAUGAUAAAUGCCAAAAAAAACCUUUGAAAAGGUUAAACAAUAUUUGUCCAGUCCCCCAGUGCUAACACCACCAAGCCCUGGUAGACCAUUGAUACUGUACUUAACAGUAUUUGAUAAUUCGAUGGGGUGUGUGCUCGGUCAACACGAUGAGACUGGGAGAAAAGAAAGAGCGAUAUAUUACCUCAGUGAGUGUGAAAUGAGGUAUCUGCCAAUUGAGAAGCUAUGCUGUUCUUUGGUUUGGACAACACGAAGGUUGAGGCAAUACAUGUUGUACCAUACAACUUGGCUAAUUUCAAAGCUAGACCCUCUUAAAUACAUGAUGGAGUCAACCACUUUAAAUGGAAGGAUGGCCCGAUGGUAGAUUCUGCUCUCCGAAUUUGACAUAGUCUAUGUAAACCAAAAAGCUAUGAAAGGGAGUGUAAUAGUAGACUUCCUAGCCAAUAGAGCUUUGGAGGACUAUGAACCUUUGAAUUUUAAUUUCCCCAAUGAAGAUCUAAUGUAUGUAGCAAUCGCUGAAGGAAACGUGCCUGAAGAUUAUUCUUGGAAAUUAAAUUUUGACGGAGCAUCAAAUGCCGUUGGAAAUAGAGUUGGGGCGGUAAUGAUAUCCCCAAAUGGAGAUCAUUAUCCAUUCACUUACAAGCUGGAUUUUGACUGCACCAACAAUAUGGCAGAAUACGAGGCAUGUAUCAUGGGAAUUCGGGCAGCUAUAGACAGCGAAAUCAAAGUAUUAGAAGUGUAUGGAGAUUCUGCAUUGGUAAUUUAUAAGCUUAAAGGCGAGUAGGAAACGAGAGAUCCUAAAUUGAUUAGUUACCGAAAGUUAAUCUUGGAGUUAAUCGAAGAGUUUGAUGAUAUUACCUUUCAUUACCUCCCGCGAGACAAGAAUCAGAUGGCUGACGCCUUGGCCAUACUAGCUUCCAUGAUCAAAGUAAAUGAACAAGAGGUUAUGAAGCCAAUUCAGAUGAGUAUUUGUGAGGCUCCAGCUCACUGCUGUAAUGUCGAUGAAGAAGAAGAGAGAGAUGAUCAUCCUUGGUAUCAUGAUAUCUUACAAUAUGUGAAGAGCCGUGCGUACCUAGAUCAAGCAACCGAAAAUGAUAAAAGAACAUUAAGGAGGUUAGCCAGUGACUAUGUCCUAGACAGUGAGGUCCUAUAUAAGAAGAGAAAGGAUCAGGUGUUGUUAAGAUGUGUUGACGCUGUUGAGACAAAGAAAAUUCUAGAGGAAGUCCAUGAUGGUGUCUGUGGGACACAUGCCAAUGGUUUCACAAUGGCUCGACAAAUCAUGAGAUUCAAAUAUUACUGGUCUACAAUGGAAGGAGAUUGCAUCAAUUACGCUAAGAAGUGCCAUAAGUGUCAAAUUUAUGGAGACAAGAUCCAUGUGCCUCCUUCACCCCUCUAUGUUAUGACUUCCCUAUGACCAUUCUCAAUGUGGGGCAUGGACGUCAUUGGGCCAAUUUCGCCAAAGGCUUCCAACGGAUAUCGAUUCAUUUUUAUGGUUACUACUUUACCAAAUGGGUAGAGGCUGUUUCGUACGCCAAUAUCACAAAGUCGGCGGUCAGCAAGUUCCUGAAGAAGGAGAUCGUAUGUCGUUAUGGUAUGCCAGAAAGAAUCGUAUCUGACAAUGCGUUGAAUCUGAACAAUAGCGCAAUAGCAGAAGUUUGCAGUCAGUUCAACAUUAAACAUCACAUGUAUGUAGCAAUCGCUGAAGGAAACGUGCCUGAAGAUUAUUCUUGGAAAUUAAAUUUUGACGGAGUAUCAAAUGCCGUUGGAAAUAGAGUUGGGGCGGUAAUGAUAUCCCCAAAUGGAGAUCAUUAUCCAUUCACUUACAAGCUGGAUUUUGACUGCACCAACAAUAUGGCAGAAUACGAGGCAUGUAUCAUGGGAAUUCAGGCAGCUAUAGACAGCGAAAUCAAAGUAUUAGAAGUGUAUGGAGAUUCUGCAUUAGUAAUUUAUCAGCUUAAAGGCGAGUAGGAAACGAGAGAUCCUAAAUUGAUUAGUUACCGAAAGUUAAUCUUGGACUUAAUUGAAGGGUUUGAUGAUAUUACCUUUCAUUACCUCCCGCGAGACAAGAAUCAGAUGGCUGACGCCUUGGCCAUACUAGCUUCCAUGAUCAAAGUAAAUGAACAGGAGGUUAUGAAGCCAAUUCAGAUGAGUAUUUGUGAGGCUCCAGCUCACUGCUGUAAUGUCGAUGAAGAAGAAGAGAGAGAUGAUCAUCCUUGGUAUCAUGAUAUCUUACAAUAUAUGAAGAGCCGUGCGUACCCAGAUCAAGCAACCGAAAAUGAUAAAAGAACAUUGAGGAGGUUAGCCAGUGACUAUGUCCUAGACAGUGAGGUCCUAUAUAAGAAGAGAAAGGAUCAGGUGUUGUUAAGAUGUGUUGACGCUGUUGAGACAAAGAAAAUUCUAGAGGAAGUCCAUGAUGGUGUCUAUGGGACACAUGCCAAUGGUUUCACAAUGGCUCGACAAAUCAUGAGAUUCGAAUAUUACUGGUCUACAAUGGAAGGAGAUUGCAUCAAUUACGCUAAGAAGUGCCAUAAGUGUCAAAUUUAUGGAGACAAGAUCCAUGUGCCUCCUUCACCCCUCCAUGUUAUGACUUCCCUAUGACCAUUCUCAAUGUGGGGCAUGGACGUCAUUGGGCCAAUUUCGCCAAAAGCUUCCAACGGAUAUCGAUUCAUUUUUGUGGUCAUUGACUACUUUACCAAAUGGGUAGAGGCUGCUUCGUACGCCAAUAUCACAAAGUCGGAGGUCAGCAAGUUCCUGAAGAAGGAGAUCGUAUGUCGUUAUGGUAUGCCAGAAAGAAUCGUAUCUGACAAUGCGUUGAAUCUGAACAAUAGCGCAAUAGCAGAAGUCUGCAGUCAGUUCAACAUUAAACAUCACAACUCAUCACCAUACCGCCCGAAAAUGAAUGGGGCGGUUGAGGCAGCUAAUAAGAAUAUCAAGAAGAUUGUGGGGAAGAUGGUGGAGACUUACAAAGAUUGGCAUGAAAAGCUCCCAUUUGCCCUUUAUGCUUAUCGGACAUCUGUCAGAACUUCUACUAGGGCAACACCUUUCUCAUUGGUUUAUGGGAUAGAGGCAGUUUUACCUAUUGAGGUCGAAAUCCCUUCUCUUCAAGUUUUAUCAGAGCUGAAGUUAGACGAAGCAGAAUGGAUCCAAUCUCGUUACGAUUAACUAAACUUGAUUGAAGAGAAGAGGCUGAAGGCUAUUCGUCAUGGUCAAUUGUACCAGAGGAGAAUGAUGCGAGCCUACAACAAAAAAGUUCACCCAGGGUGUUAUAUGAGGGGGACUUAGUAUUGAAAAAGAUUCUCCCUAUGCAAAAAUAUUUCAGGGGGAAAUGGAUGCCAAAUUGGGAAGGACUUUAUGUGGUAAAAAAGGCUUUCUCUAGAGGGGCAUUGAUACUAGCAAAGAUGGAUGGCAAGAGCUUGCCUAACCCGAUAAAUUCAGAUUUUGUCAAAAGAUAUUUUGCUUGAAGCAGUUGAGGUGAAAACCCGUAAAGAGCGCCAAAAAAAAGGAGAGGCCAAAGUGAAAACCCGUAAAAGGGCGCCUUGAGACCAAAGGGGUUUUGAAUUGAAAACCCGCAAAGGACAAUUCAACUUUCGAUCCAAACUGGGGCAAGCGGCAGUCUCACUACACUUGAAUCGACAAAGAGGAGAUAAGCUACAUCUUGGGGCAUCAACAAAAUGUUAUAGAUCCCUUGAGCGCGUGCCAAGUUUAAAAAGGUCCUCGAGGAGUUCGUGUAGAGAAGCUCAAACUGCGAAAUCUGGGGCACCUAUUCUGUUCCUUUUCAUCCGUUUUUGUAUCUCAAACAAUGUCUGCUUUCUUUGUUGAUACAUCUUUCGCAAAUUUUGACUCGAAUAAAUUUCAGUUCUACCUAUCAUUAUAAUCUUUUUCGAGUAUUUUUAUUGAAAUAAUGAUUAAUGAACUAAUAAUGCUCUCAAAAGAAGUUUUUGCAUAUUACUCUGAAAGGUUUCUAAACAAUACGAGAACCUGAAACAGGACAAUUAUUUAGAACUCACCGAGCUUAAAAGGGCUAGAAACGUGUGAAAAAUAAGGGAUUAACCGCAUCUUCAGGUCCUUUUCUACCGAGCUGAACAAGAAGGCAUAUAUCAGAGAUGUUACCUUAGUAAACAACGAGCGAUGACAGCCCAAAAUUAAAAUAGAUCAUUCUCAUGACAUUUUGCAUGUUGUGCAUUUAACAUCCAUAAUACAUGUAGUUAGGAGAAUUUGAUUCAUAUUAAUCAUGGCAUCCUAAUCAUCUAGCAUAAGCAUAUCACUCUCCUACAGAUGGAUUCCCCAGUGGACAAUGUAGCAGGAUUAUAGAUAUCAUAAGCCUUAUCUUCACUGAGCAGGAGUGGAGCAGGCUAAAUACCAGAUCUUAUCUUCACUGAGCAGGGGUGAAGCAGAUCAAAUUUUAGAUAAUCUUAUCUCCACGUACCGGCGAUGGAGCAGGUUCCAAUCAUCAACUUUAUCUUCACUGAGCAGGAGUGGAGCAGGCUAAAUAUAUCAGAUCUUAUCUUUAUUGAGCAGGAGUGAAGCAGAUCGAAUUUUGGAGAAUCUUAUCUCCACGUACCGGCGAUGGAACAGAUUCCAAUCAUUAGCUUUAUCUUUACUGAGCAGGAGUGGAGUAGGCUAAAUAUACUAGAUCUUAUCUUCGUUGAGCAAGAGCGGAUCAGAUAAAGUUCCAACAAAUCGUAUCUUCAUGAAACAGCUAUGAGACAUUUGGAAGCAAUAGGAUGCAGUGGGUUGUGAUAAAGUUACACCAAGAAGCGCCAAAGGAAGUCAAGAUUUGGCAAGACCGGGCAAAAUUUAUAACAGCCUAAUUUUUAGUAGUAUCGGGAAUAGAGAUUUGAGAUCACUAAAUCUGAUGGGUGAGUUGAAAAUUUAAUAAAUUAAUACCUAUGAGUCAAAUGUGAAUAUAAAAGCAUUUUUGAAUUAGUAAAUUUGGUGAUUUAAAAGAAUUAAUUAGGUAAAUUGGGUCGAGAAUAAGGUAUCGAGACCUCGACUUCAUAAAUCGAGCCAUAAAUAUUUUUAGAAAUAUUUAUGGAGUGUUGGUGAGGUAGUAAUAAAAUUUAGUCAGAAAAUUUUGACGUUUGGGUGGUUAAUUAAAUAAAAAGGACUAAAUUGAAAAGGGUGUAAAAGUUGCUAAAAUGAUUAAAUAGCUCAAUUUUCAAAUGAGAAGGACCUAAAGUGCAAAUAAGCCCAAAGGAGAUAUUUUGGGUGGCAAUAGCUGAGAAAAAUCAGGAAAUGGGUGAAAUAGGGCAAAAUUGGAAAAUUGACAAAAUUGGCUAAAUAAAAAUGGGACUAAAUUGGGAUAUCUAGAAUUCUCUUCAUUUCUCUUCAUAUUCAUCAGCUGAAAAACAUCCAUGGAGGAGGGUUCAAGCUGGUUUUCAUACUCUAGCUUCAUGUAAGUUUAAUUCUUGCUUUCUCCUUGACAUUUUUAUGUUUUUGGACUUUUACAAUUGGGUCCAACUUACUAUUUCAUUAGUUUGUGAUUCCAUGUCUAAUUUUUGAAGUUGUUAUGGAUGAGUGCUGGAAGUAUAUGAUGAUUUUGCAUGGAAUUAGAACUUUAAAUUGUUUAUAUUCUGAUUUUAUUGAAAGAAUUGAAUAGAAAGUGAAUGUUUGGGACCUAAUUGUAAAAGAGUUUGAAGUUAGAGUUUUAUGUGGAAAUUCUGAAUCUCAAUAGUUAUGAAAUAACUUAUAAUGUAAAGAAAAAGUAUUAAUUGAGAAAAUUAUCUUAAUUUAGGGGUUAAUUGAAUAAGGACUGAAUUGUAUGAAUUGUAAAAUUUGGGGUAAAAUGGAAAUCAACAUUUUGCACUAAAACUGUUUUGGGCAACAACAGUAGUUUAACUUUGAAAAAUCAUAAAAAAAUGUAGAAAUCGAAUUAGAGGAUGAAUAAAAUAUGAAAUUAAAGCUUAUUAAGUCUAGUUCCUUAUAAAAGAAAUUAUGUAAGCAAUGGAAUUGUAAAUCAUGAGAUACAAUAACUUUUGUGAGACAAGGUCAGAAUGAUUUCGGGUUCCCCUGUUCUGAAUUUGGAAAAUCAUCAAAAAUUGGAUAAAAAUAAUUAGAGGCUUAAAUUUAUAUGUUUAGAAUCUUGAAUGAGUCUAUUUUCAAGAGAAACAAACGAGGACAUCAUUCAAAUCUUGUACGAGAAGAUAAUUAAUUUUUAGUGAAGAAGGGUCGAAACUGUCAGACAGCAGAACAGGGGAGACUUCAAUGAAUAAACUGUAUUAAUUGGCCUAGCCAAAAAUUAUGAAAUUUUUAUGGUAAGAAUAAAUAUGAGUCUAGUUUCUGGAAAAAUUCAUGUAUCUUAAUUUGGAGUUCUGUGGCUCAAGAUAAAAAUAAUUUAGUGACUAUGACACAGAUGGACAGCUUGAAUAUUCACAUAAGUAGAUAGUGAAAAUUAUGGAUAAUGUUACCUACAAGUGUGUUGUUUAUACUAAGGAUGUGGAUGGAGAGGAGGAGGAGGAAAAUAUACAAAAAUAUAUGAAUAACUCGUGUAUAAAUUGAUCACAUGCCCGAUUAUAAUCGAUAAGUGUUGGAUUAGAAAUGAUAUAAUGUUUUAUUUGGUAUAUUUAUUAUGAAAUUAUGAUUAUCGUUAUAAUACAAAAAUUGAACUUGUGAGUUUAUAUGGAUAAAUUUUAGUGAUUAUUUGUUAAUUUUAUGAAUUUCAUAUUGUGUUAUUUCAUAUGUGUUGAUGAUAAAAUCGUGAAUAAUGUAAAAGCAUGAAAAUUGAAUAAAUGAUCAAAUUGAGAAUUUCAGUUCAGUGACAAGAUGAAUUGAAGGAAAAGACCAUGGUUGGACCAUGGAAACAAGUGAUAAGUGAUAGCUUCGGCUACACUUAUCUGAUCAAGGAAAAGUGAAAGUGAUAAGUGAUAGCUUCGGCUACACUUAUCUGAUCAAUGACAAAUGACAAGUGAAAAGUGGUAGCUUCAACUACCUGAUCAGUGAAAAGUGGUAGCUUCUGCUACCUGAUCACCGGCUACCUGAUCAGUGAAAAGUGGUAGCUCCGGUAGCUCCGGCUACCUGAUCAGUGAAUAGUGAUAGUUUCGGCUACAAGUGACAAGUGACAAGUGAUUUCCGUUUAAGACCAUAUUCCGUAUAAGACCAUAUCUAGGAUAUGGCAUCGGUGUGAUAUAUGCUACUGUAUAAGACCAUAUCUGGGAUAUGGCAUCAGUGAGAUAUGUGAUUCGUGUAAGACCAUAGCUGGGCUAUGGCAUCGAUAUAUGAAUAUGUGUAAGACCAUAGCUGGACUAUGGCAUCAUUAUGUGAAAAUGUGUAAGACCAUAGUUGAACUAUGGCAUCGAAAAAAUGAAGUACUCAAUUUCGUAAGACGUUCACUAAUUUGACAAAGUUUGGUAAGUGUUACAUGGAAUUAUGUGAUACAAGGAAGUACGAGUUGAUAAGAUACGAGUAUAGAACUUGGUUGAUAAAUGAAUUCAUUUGUGAUUAUUUAAUUAUUCAUCUUGAAUGUACUGUCCAUAUGUAUUGAUAAUUCAAAUGUUUUAAUGAAUAAAAUUCUGAUAUGGGAUAAAUUGAACACGAGACAAAUAAUUAUAAAAUUGAACUCGAAAUUCAUGAAAAUGACGGUUAUUGAUAUAUGGAGACAUGAGACAUUGAUAUAUGAAUAUGGAAAAUGUUUGAUAAAUGUGUUUAUUCAUAAUUAUAGGAUUAUAUACCUCAUGUGUACUAUUUGCAUAAAGAUGAUAUUUCAAAUACUUUGGUUAUUUAAGAUUAAAUAGGAAAUAGUCUGAAAUCAAGAUAAGUUGUUAUGAAAAUAUAUUUAGAUUACAGAGAUAUGGCUGAUAUAUGUUGUAUGAUUACAUAACGUGAAAUUGUGUAUAUAUAUGAGAAAUUGAAUGAGAAUUAAGCCCAAACACGUUUCUUGUUAUUUAUAUGAAGUGUACGACUGACAAGGGUGAUGAAGUUAUAAACAGAGAAUUACACGGGUUGAAAACACGAGCGUGUGACUCUCCAAAGUGUGAAAAUUUUCUAAGUGUUGCAAAAGUUUCAUAUGUUUACGGUUUGGUCCCGAACUAUCCUGAAUGUAUGUUUUGGGCCCCGUAGGCCCAUAUAAGGGACGUUAAACAUAUGUAUGAAAGUUUUUAAUUUAGAAAAAAAAUUUAUGGCUGAUUUUUUUUACAUGAUUGAUCAUAUUAAGUUUGGUAAUGCCUCGUACCUUAUUCUAGGCUCGGAAUACGGGUAGGGGGUGUUACAAAAUUGGCCCAUUUAGAGUCUUUGCUCCAUUCUCGUUACACGACAAUGAGCAAAGAGGGGUAGCUGUAGACCCAAUUUUCAGCCAGGCCUAAACCACCAGGAACCCAAAACCAAAUACAAGCCAAUUAAAGCCUAAAUACCUACAUUGAAGUCCAAAUCACAUCUCAAAUCAAACACCUAAAACAAAAUUAUAGACCAAGCCCAAUUACAUAAACCCCAACAGCCCAAAAAAAUAAUAAAAACAAAAACACCAUCAGCCGUCACAACCCAGGGCAGUCUCCAGGCACAGCACGUCUCGCGCUUCCUCCGCGUCAUGCGCUGCUCCACCAUGCCACAUCAGUGAUGCACUCAUGCACGUACCUGCAAAUAGGGGUGAGUACUCGAUCGAGUCGAGUCGAAUCGAGUCAAAAAAUUUUGAGUUAGUCGAGUUGACGAAUCCUAUUUUUGCAACCGAAUUCAAUUUGAAAUUUUUUCAAAUCGAGUCGAAUCGAGUGAAAAAAUUUCGAGUCGAGUCGAGUCGAGUUAAAGAAUCCUAUUAUUUAUACUCAAUAUUACGUUUAUAUGGACCGGUUAUUCAACUAGUAAACGAAUUACAAUAUUAUUUAACUACAUAAACAAUAUAAUUUACUAAAUAAUUACAUGUAAAGAACUAUUUUAGGCAUGUAAAGAACUAUUUUAGGUAUGCAAAAUAACUAUAUAUAACGUUCUAAGAUGAUCAUUGUAGCCAAAAUUUGAGUCAACUACAUAAGCUAUUACACCACACGCAUAAUUAUAUUUACAUAGUGCAUAAUUAUGCAUCAAGAACUAUCUUAUAUACAAGAUAGCAAAAUGAUAUACCAAAAGCAUGAUAUAGGGAUACUUGUCACUACUACACAAAAUAUGAUAUAACAAAAUGAUACACCAAAAGUAUAAUAUAGAUCGUCAUGGUGUGACGCUCCAAGACUCGAAUUCAACAAAAUAAAUUCAAGCUUCGUACACAACAAAAUCCAAAGUUUAACCAAUUGUUUUGACCAAAUCAAAGCAAAUUCAAUGUUGAAGUUUUCAUAAGGUUUAACAAAAUAUCUAUUCCAAAAAGUUAAAAUCAAACUAUCUUCAAGCUUCAUCUUCUUCAAACAUUGUAGAUAGUACCGACAAUUCUGUAACAAAAAUAAAAAUGUAUUCUUAAACUAUGAAAAUCUUUACUAGAAAAAUUAAAAAUAAACAUUCAAUUUUGUGAGUUGUAGUUAAGUAUGUUACCAUCUUCAUGUUUCGAUAACUUUGACAAUUCUAAUAAAUAUCAAAAGAGAAAAAUGUUAGUUAAAUUGUGAGAAUAUUUAUAAAAAUAAAUAAAAUAAGCAAUUAACCUUUUGGAUUAAAGUUAGUCCCUUACCAUCAUCUAUAUUUUGAAGUUCCUCCACAUACUCCUCAAGGUUGAUAGGAUCUUUUGACCUUCGAAGCCAAUCUUGUGUGCAAACCAAAGCUUCAACCAUAGAAGGAGUCAAAGAACUUCUAAAAUUAUCUAGUACACGUCCACUCGUGCUAAAAGCACUUUCUGAUGCAACAGUUGAGAUAGGAACGGAUAACACAUCUCGAGCCAUUUGCGCAACAAUUGGGAAUCUUGGACUAUUAACUUUCCACCAUAAUAACAAAUCAAAUGAAUCUGAAUUAUUUUCACAAUCUUCUCCCAAAUAUCUAUCCAACUCCGAUUUACUUUCCAAGCCAACACGUUGUUUUUUCUUUAUAUCUUGUUGCAUGACUAAGCCUAUCUUCGGUUUUACUUGAUCUAUUUCAUUUUCACUUGAACUUGGAGCUCUAGUAGGAAAAUUACUUUCAACUUCAACGUUCAUGUGAUGAUUUCCCUCAAUAAUUGCAGAAUAUUCAUCAAACAAAUAAUGCAAUUCUCUAUUGACCAUCCUUAUAAUGUCAUCUGCAAUAGUAGGAAAAAGCAAGUUGACUCCAAAUGCAAGAAAAUCAAUUUCGUGUCUUGGGUCAAAGAUAACUGCUAGAUAAAUAAGCAAGUUCAUCACUUUUGAAUCACCCCAGUACUUCUUGUACUUGUCAUUCAUUUUUGAAGCCAUAGACAUUAUGUCUAAAUCCCCACAAUGUUUCCACCCAUCAAGAAGACAAUGCACAUCUGUGACUACUUCAAAAAAAGUAUUAGAGGUGACAUGUAAUGAUCCAGACACCUUCAAUGUAAGUUCAUGAAAAGGCUCAAGCACUUUUGUAACUCUUCGAACAUUUUCCCAAUCAUCACAUGUGGGGACUCCAUAUCCAGCACUAAGGUCAAGAAAAAAGUUAUGAUCAUCAUGAACAUAAGCUUUAAACACACAUUCAUAUUUUUCAGCCACAUUUAACAUCAUAUAAGUUGAAUUCCAUCUAGUAGGCACAUCUAGACAUAAAUGAGCCUUAGUACCUACCAUUUCUUCUUUUUCCCGAUGGUUGAAUUUAAAUAACCUUGAUGGUGAUGCUCUAAUAUAUCUCACAGCUCCUCUAACUCGAUCCAAAGAUAUAGAAGCGUCCUUAACCCCUUCUUGAACAAUGAUAUUAAUAAUGUGUGCCACACAUCUCAUAUGUAUAUAUUUACCAUUCGCAACACAAGCUUUUCGAUGAACCAACUUUUUUCUCAAAUAAUCAACAGCAACAUUGUUAGAAGAUGCAUUAUCAAUAAUAAUUGCAAAGACCUUCUCAAUCCCCCAAUCCCGAUGACAUUUCUCAAGGGCUUGACCAAUGCUCUCACCUCUAUGAGCAGAAAUUGGGCAAAAGUUUAUAAUUCUCUUUUGUAACUUCCACUCAUCAUCUAUCCAAUGAGCUGUUAGAACCAUGUAGGAUAUCCUUUGCAAUGACGUCCAAGUGUCUGUCGUCAAACAAAUUCUACUUGUCUCUUUUUGAAAAGAUUGCUUUAAUGUAUUCUUCAUGGAAUUAAAUAAAUCAAGACAACCUUUUCUAAUUGUCCAACGAGAUGGAAGAUGAAACCUUGGGCAUGCUAUAGAAAUAAAGAACUUAAAACCCUCCCAUUCCACAAAAUUAAAAGGCAAUUCAUCCGUAAUGAUCAUAUUAAUCAAUGCAUUUCUAAUAUCAUCUUGAUUAAACACCCAAGUUGCCAAAUCUACAUUUUCUUGGCUAGAUUUUGUAAAUGCAAGUUCUGCUUGUUUAAGAUCAGAGGUAUUACCUCGGGGUUUUUUUUGAGCAAGUCUUCAAAUGGUUAUUUAAAUUGGUGGUAGAAGCCCCGGUUUCCAUUGUGUAAGUGACAUCGCAAUAAUUACACUUUGCCCUAUUCUCCCCAUCUUCUGUUGAGUAUUUGCUGAAAUGUUGCCAACAAGGUGCCCUUGGUUUGGUCUUUCUUCGAGUAUUUCCCUUCUUUGUUAUGCGAACAACUUUAGUAGGAGAAGUAGGUGUAGCUUCUUGUAAUGCUUUUUUGCUUUGGGACUUUUGGGAUGAUAUUGAGUCAUUCAUCUACAAAAAUAAAUAUAAUCAAUUAAAAUUACAAAAUAGUCAAAGGUCAUAAUUCCAUCAAAGUUUUAUACUAAUAGAUAUGUUCCACACAAAUAUCCAUCAACAAUUCAAAUUAAAGCGUUCAAAAUUAACUCAAAACAAAAACAAUGGAGUAACUUCAAAAUUAACUCAAAAUAAAAACAAUGGAGUAACUUACUUAUAAAAUAUACUAAUUUAACUUAUUGAAUAUAUUAACGAAACAUAUAAUUGAGCAAACGUAACAAAAUUUUUUAAAAAAUGAGAAUAAAAAGCCAAAAUUUUAAAACUCUUAUUUAAAGAGUUGUGGUUCACAUAAAUAAAAAAAAUAAAGUCUACAAUAAAUAAAUAUAAAGUAAAUCAAAAGUCAAAAAUGAAAGAAGUUAUAAGUCCAUAACACUUCUUUUGAGAGAUUGGAGUGAGAUUUCCAGUCAUUUCAACUAAUAUUUAUAAUGGAUAGAGAUUAACAAAUUAUUUUAGCCUACAAAUCAUUCACAUCCACAUGUUUAAGAAUAGAAAUUGAAUGAACUAAAAUUCCAUCACGUUUGUCACAUACUGUUUAAAUAAAAGUAAUAAACAUAACAUUAUGAGGCAUUAACAAGUUAAAGCUCUGUUUUUUUGUUCUUUUGCAAAAUUAAUUUAAUUUUAAUUGGCUUUUAUAAUAUAUAUAUCUAUAUAUAUGUAUAAUAUAAUAUAUGCAUGGCUUAAAUGAAGCUAAAUGGAAUAUAUGCAUAAUGCAUUAAUAUAUAUAUAUAUGCGCAUGACUUAAAUGAAACAAAACAUUAUAUAUAUGCAUUAAUAUUAAAUGAAGCUAAACAGUAUACAUAUGCAUUAAUAUAUAUAUGCUUGGCUUAACUCAAGCUAAACCUGCUAAUUAUGAUAUAUAUAUGCAAUUAUGCAUGACUUAAAUGAAGUUAAAUGGAAUAUAUAUGCAUUAUGCGCAUGACUUAAAUGAAGCAAAACAUUAUAUAUAUGCCUUAAUAUUAAAUGAAGCUAAACAGUAUACAUAUGCAUUAAUAUAUAUAUAUGCUUGGCUUAACUCAAGCUAAAUCUGCUAAUUAUGGUAUAUAUAUGCAAUUAUGCAUGACUUAAAUGAAGUUAAAUGGAAUAUAUAUGCAUUAUGCGCAUGACUUAAAUAAAGCAAAAUUUUAUAUAUAUGCCUUAAUAUUAAAUGAAGCUAAACAGUAUACAUAUGCAUUAAUAUAUAUAUGCUUGGCUUAACUCAAGCUAAACCUGCUAAUUAUGGUAUAUAUAUGCAAUUAUGCAUGACUUAAAUGAAGCAAAACAUUAUAUAUAUGCAUUAAUAUUAAAUGAAGCUAAACAGUAUACAUAUGCAUUAAUAUAUAUAUGCUUGACUUAAAUGAAGUUAAACCUGCUAAUAAUGGUAUAUAUAUGCAUGACUUAAAUGAAACUAAACCUGUUAAUAAUGGUUAAUUUAAUUGACCUGGAAUAAUACAAGACAGGCAGUUUAGUUUGAUUAGUAAAAACAUGGAAAAAUACAAGACAGGCAAAAACAUGGAAACUCAGAAACAUAGAAACUUUGAUUAGUAAAAACUAAAACCAGACCCUUAAAUCAUACAAGGCAGCAGGCGAGGUUAUUACUUUGAUUAGUAAAAACUAAAACCAGACCCACUACCUCAGGCUCAGGACCCUUUCGACGUUGCACAAAAGCCAUUACUUUACGUUCAACUAGCAGUGGAAUAGUUAUGUAUGUUUUCGAUUUUCUAUUUACUCUUUCUUGCUGUAAGGAGCAAGAAGAAGAUUCAAAAAGAAAACAAUAAUUGUUUUUAGAAUGUAAAGGUGAAAACUAGAAACACUCACUCACAGACUUACUCACAUGCACAAAGCUAAAAAAAGAAUACAAUCUCACCUUAAACAACUGACGUUGGUUGUGGCUUGUGGAACCUUGUUUGUGGCUUGUGGAACUGUGGUCGUGGCCUCGUGGGACAAAGCAUGAAAUCAGAUUCUCAGAAAAGAGUAAACAGAUGGAAGGGGGACGUUAGGUGUGGGGAAGGAAUGAAAAUAUUUGAGUAAAGAAGAAAGGAAAAAUUGGGGGAGGGGUGGGAAUUUGGAACGAGGAAAAAUUGGGGGAGGGGGUGGGAAUUUGGAACGGCAGAAAGAAACUAAGCUUAAGCUUAACUGCUUAAGUUAUGAAAAAAAAAUUAAAUUUAAAAAUUAAAACUUAUCAGACGUAGUUUUAUCAUUUCUUAUUCGGGUUUUCGGAUAACUCGAAUUUGUAUUUUAUAUCCGAGUUAAACUGAAAAAUUUGAAUUUUUUUUCGAGUCGAUCUGAAUAACUCGAAUAACUCGAACUAUUUAAUUCAAAAUUUGAAUUUUUUAUCGAAUUUUUCGAAUCAAGUCGGAUUUUGCUCACCCCUACCUGCAAACAAGCUAAAGAGGUUGUAAAAAUCGGCUAUAAAGCCAAAUCGAACCAAGUGUAAGGGGUUUCUUUUUUUUUGGAGAAAAAUAGCAGAAUACACACAAAAGAGGAAUCAAUAAAAAAAAUCAAACUCAAAAUUCUAAAGGUUACUUUACUUCUUCUUCUUUGGGUCUUUUUUUGCUUUAUAUUUCGUUUCUUUUUUCUUUCUUAUUUAUUUAUUGGGUUUUAUGAAAAUAUAUUUGAAACAAGAAUUAAAGAGAAGGUUUACCUGGGUCUUAGUGAUUUAGAACCCGAAUGCCGAGGAAAUGUGAAGGUUCGGGCAGGAGAUUUCGUCCAUGGCUAUAACAGUGGCCUUCUCUCUGUUUUUAAAAAUGAAUAAAGAGGGUGAUGCUUUAAAUUUUUGGGUGUUCUAAAAGUUUUUUUAAGGUUAAAAUAAAAGGAAACAAAUAAGUUUCAGUGGGUAAGGAAACAAAUCAGCAUUGGGGAAUGGAAUUAGUGCGCCUUUUGGCCUGGGUCCAAGCGCAUUAUACCUUCCAAUGGGUAAUUUGCGCAAUUAGGCCCCUCAUUUGCGUUAGUUUUCAAUUGGGCCAUGUUAAGUUUCUUAAAUUAUUUUAAUUUAUCCCUGUAACCUGCGCGCUAUUUCAAUUUGGCCCUCCCCUUUAGUGCAGUAUUUUAAGAUUUGGGGCAUUUUCAAUUUUAGACCUCGAACAUUUAUGCGCAUUUAAUUUUAGCCCAAAAUUCUCUUUUAAUAAUUUGUUUUACUUAUAAAUUAUCCCCUGGAUUUUGUUUUUUUCCUCUUGAUUAAAUUUCAGUUAUUUCUUUAGAAUAAUCAUGUUUCAACAUAUUAUUUUGAUUUCAUACUUUUGUGAUUAUUUUUUUUUUCAUGUGCGUACCUGUUUAUAUGGAAUACCUUUAUAUAUUAUUAUUACUACUAUAUGUAUUAUUUAUAUUAAGCUUUUCCUGUGUAUAUAUUACUUUGUAUAUUAUUUACUUUUAAUCUUUUAUGCAUAUUUUUUUUUUUGGAAUUUCAUUUACGCUACAUAUAUUUUUUUCCUUAUUUUUUUUUAUUUUGAUACAAUUCAAGCUUUCAUUCAAAAUAUUUACUUUAUAAUAUUUAUUUUAAAAAUUCAUUUGUACAUUACCAUUUGAUAUAUUAUUUCUUUUAUUUUUUUUCCCUAUUUUUUUAAAAUUCCUAUAUUUAUUACCUAUUUAAAAUUUUCUUAUAGUUUAUAUAGUUAUAUUUCCAAAUUUUCCUUUCCUAUUAUUUAUUUUAUUUUAUUUUAAAAAAAAACUUGUUAUAUUUUAUUUGGGUGAUUUAUUUGAAACUUUUUUUAAAAUUGGUUUCUUAUGCAUUGACCCUUGGACAUAAAUGGUGAUAUUUUUAUAAUAUAUGAUGUGCUGUUAUUGCAUGUAUUCUAAGUUGUUCCUUUGCAUUUCCCUAUUAUUUUAGAUUAUUCAUGAGAUGUUAUUGCCACGUGUUUUAUUCCUUAUGUUAUCAAGCUUUUUUUAUAAAAAUACAUUUCAUUUAUUUAUUACAUUUCAUUUGAAAUUUUAAACAAGGAAAUGUUCAGUAUUUGAAGAAUUCAAAGGAUCGUGCCCUAACGUACUAGGUUUCGCUUUCUUUGUUUGUUUUGAAUAUUCGAAUAUCCUUUUAAAGCUAAAACGCACGUUUUAAAGGCAAGAUCACAUUUGAGGGUCGAAAAUGUUGUGACCUAACGUACUGGAUGUAAUGUUUUAUCUCAAGAUGAGAUAGUCUUUAAUACACAUUUGACUUGCCUAAAUGUUUUAAAAGUCAAUAAAAGGAGGAUCGCAUUUUGAACUCUGUCCAAAUUUUUAAUUUUCGGCAUUUAAGACACUAAUUAAUUGAUUAAGUACCAAUUUUGGGCGUGUCGAGGGUGCUAACCCUUCCUCGUACGUAACCGACUCCUGAACCCGUUUUCUUAAAAUUCGUGGACCAAAAUGUUUUAUAAGGUGGCCCAAUUAUACCUCAAAAAGGAUUGGUGGCGACUCCCAAUUUUCGUUUUCAAAAGUCGAUUCCCGUUUUUCAAAAAAUGGUUUCGACAGACAUAAUAUAAAAAUGUUGAGGGUUAAAGUUGUUUAUCAUGCCAAUUUUAAAAGUUGAUAGGUCAUUUAUUCCAUCAAUAAUUUAAUAACUACCUACCAAAAAAGAUAAAAUCGAAUAAUUAGGUGACUAAUUUUUAACUUUUUAUACUUAGGUGAUCAAAAAACAAAUUUACCAAUAAUUGGGUGACUAUAAGUGUAGCUUAUCUUUUAUUUUAUGCCAAUGAAGCUUUUUGAAGAUAAAAGUACCGAAGUCUUUGUACUAAGAGUUAGAUUACAUUUUGCCCCAUUUGCUAAAAAAUAGGCAAAUUAGUCCUGUACAUUAAAUUAAAGAGCAAAUUAAUCCUUCUGUUAAAAUUACAUCCAUUUUUAUUGUUAAAAAUUAGUUUCUGUACAUCAACCUGAGGUGAAUAUGGCACGGCAUGUGUAAUUGUUCGAUUGUUCUGUCGGCCAUGCAGGUUUUUAACAGUAGAAACGGAUGAAACUUUUAACAGAAAUGACUAAUUUGCUUUUUGAUCUAACAUACAAUGACUAAUUUGUCAAUUUUUUUAAUAAAUGGGGAGAAAUGCAAUCUAAAAUUUGUCAAUUUUUUAAUAAAUGGGGAGAAUGCAAUCUAACUCCUAAAAGAACCGAACAUCUACCAAACUGGAAAGGAUGACAAGAAAACCCUCCCUAAAAUUACUUGCAAAAUUAAGAUUACAUGCAUAAAUAAGAUUAAAAAACUUGUAAAAGGACAAGACUAAAAAAUUUCAAAAAAUGAAGAUUUAUUAAACAAUGAAAAACAAAUAAAAAAAUAUAAAAAACUUAAGAUAACACGGGUUCAAACCGACUCGUGAAAUCAUUUAUUAUUCUGAAAUACUCUCAAAACAUAAACUGGCGAAAGAACUAUUUUAAUAAUAAAUAAGAAAGACUGAAACAAGAAAAAUAGAAAAUAAUGUUAAUAAAAUAUUAGGAUGCCCUUCUCUCAAAAACCGUGUGACGCAUAAUGAUUGAUCAUAACUGUUUUUUUCGCAAAUACUUUAAAAGCUAAAUAAUGCAUCCAUCACCCUUUGAAUUAGUUAAACCUAAGUCAUAGACUCUUGGGUUUGGAAAGACCUUCUUAGAAGAAGAAACAUUUACAUGCAAUGUAAGGAUGUUUAAAUCUGGGAAGGUAGAAACUGCUGGAUCAAUAUAAACCCCAACCUCCCUCUUGUUGACACUAUUAAACCACCUGCCUCAGCCAUUAAUGUUCAUUCUUGCACAGUCCCACACAUCAACAGUUGGGACCAAAAGAAAUCUCUAAACUUUCUUAAUCAUGAUCGGGACUAUGACCUUCUCAAUAGGACCCUUUCAAUCUAGGGGGAGAAGACAAAAUUGUAUGGAAAUAUGAUAUUAAUGGUUGCUUCUCCAUGAAGAGUGCCUAUGCCCAUCAGAUGCAACCACACUUGCAGUUGCACCUUUGCACAAAGCAUGGACUAAUCUAUGGAAGCUUAAACUCCUGCACAAGUUGCCUCCCAACUAAGGAGCUUCUUUCAAGGCGCCUUUCCAACGAUGAUAACCACUGUUCUUUUUGCAAAGAAAGCAAGGAGUCCAUUGAACACCUUUUCCUUGAAUGUAGUUUCGCUCGGGUUGUCUAGUUUGGUUCUUUUCUUUUCCUCCGGUCUGACUUUCUUCGUAUUUCUUCUUUGCCAUCAUGGUUUCAUUAGUGGCUCAACUCAAACAACAUUCACUCUCUUAAUUCAAGGAUAUUUUAAACUUGUAUGGCUUACACCCUAUACAUAAUUUGAAAUUUAAUAAAUGAACUCAUCUUCAAAAUGGCUGAUCCUUCUACAAUAAGAGUAAUCAUAAGGAUCCAAAAUCUCCAUAAUUCUAUAAUGAAUGCCUUCCCCUUUGAAAAUUUGCAAAGGCAUCAGUCAAGAAUUCGAAGAUCGGAUCCUUUUGAAAAUCCCCUUUCCAAACGGACUCUCUCUUCGCAUUGUCCAUUGCAGAGGAGUGCAAAAAAAAAAAAAAAAAAACACGGAAAAGCCAAAAUGAACCAAACCCAGAAAACCAAAAAAUUUAGUUUAUUCAGUUUUUAGGUUUAAUUAGUUUGUACGGUACAUUUUAAACUGAAUAAAUAUAUUAAGGCUAUAAGCCCAUAACCCAUUACAUACUCAAACCCAAGUUUAAACCUUAAGCAAAUAUCCAUUAAAACUUAAUACUUUUAUAAGCCCAAUUUCAUUAAUAUUAAAACCCAAUUGAUAACUUAAAAUUUUUUAUGAUAUUCAUUUUAAUUUUUAUCAUUUAAUAUAUAAAAAACCAAAAUUUAUAUAUACAAGUUAAGAAUAGUAGAAGACAUGAAAUUGCAUGUUGGUCAUGUGAGAAAUAAAAUAUUUCUUGAGUUCAUUAAAAAUUAUUUGAUUAAAUUUUUAAUAUUUUUAUAAUGAAUUUGAAAUAAAUAUAAAAUUAAAAAUAAUACGAUAUACUAGAUUGAAGAAAAAAAGACAAUUAUGUGAAAAAAUUAAAGGAAAUAAAAUUAUAACUACUUCAAUUAGAAUUUUAUCCAUCCAAAAACUAAAAAAUAGAAUUGAAUCAAACUGAUAAUUUUUUGUUCGAUUCAUUUAAUUUUACUUCCUAAAUCGAUUUGGUUUAUUCGGUUUACAUGUAUAAUUUGAUUUAUUUAAUUUUUUAGAUAAAAAAUUUUAACUGACCGAAUGCAGACCCUAAUCUAUUGCAGGUGAUAGCAUGGCUAACAGAUUUUCCAUUAUUCAAGACCAUAAAUUCUCAUAGUUUCUAUCCACUCAAAGCUACAAAAUUGCUUGCAAAAACCAGGUCGGACUUCUCACUCUCCAUUCUAUCCUUAUUUCACUAAAUAUCAUAAUAUUUCUGUCUAUAGGCUUCUCGGAGGUGACAAAAAAUGGUCGAAUAUCAUACGUGGGCAUACAAAAGUAGAAAGGAAGCUCCAAGCAGCGUUUGGUGACAUCAAGGAUCUCCUCCAAUUCGUCCCCAUACAAGAUGAGCCAAUGGACAACAACCAUUUAUCCUGAAAACCGAACGAUGGGCUACAGCCUACACCUACAUGUGCUUCAAAGGCGUUUGUUGGUUUUUAUGAUCUUAACCCUUAUUGUUUUAUACAAAAAAAAGAGGUAAUCUUUAAUUUUAAAAUUUUAAAAUUUUAAAUUUACUUUAAUUUAAAAUAAUUAGUUUCGAAGAUAAAAAAGGUGAAGAUUAAAAAAAAAAAUCUUUUUUGGUUAUUUAAUCUCAGGUCCUUGGAGCAUUAUUUAAAAUAAAAAUUAUUGACAAAAACUAACACGUAUCAAUAAUUAACAUUGUUAGUUAAAUGUACGGCAUUGAUAAAUGACAAUAAAGUUUGGUACCAAAAUUAUUUUUUUGAAAGUUUAGGUAUCACAUUAGAAGAGUUGACAAAGCCCAAAUACCAAAUAUGAUAUUAUCCAAUAAAAACUAAUAGUAAAAGUCCCAUAGAGGUCCUUGUAAUGGGAGUUUGAUUACAUUUUGAUCCAUUUAUUCAAAAAAUGGCAAACUAAUCUCUAUAUGUUAGGUUAAAGACUAAACCGGUUCUUUUUGUUAAAAAUUUCAUCCAUUUCUGUUCUUAAAAAUUGAUGUAGCUGACGGAAUAAAGUUACAUUUGACGUGCCACGUGUACCUCAUGUUGAUAUACAUGAAUUGAUUUUUAACAGUUGAAAUUGAUAAAAUUUUUAAUAGAAUGACCAACUUGGACUUUGAUCUAAUGUGCAGGGUUAAUUUACCCAGUUUUUCGUAAAAAUGAUAAAAUGCAAUCUGAUUCCUAAAUAUAAAGGCAUGCGUGAUAAAUUACCAAUAACUAACAUAUAAUGGAAAUUGCUCCACAAAUUUUGAACUUUAUUAUUUUAACCAAAUUCCCAUUAUUUUACAAUUUUUUUCAAAAACAAUAUUUGUUUUUCACUCACGCGUCAUAAUCUAUUUAUUUAUAUUAUUAAUAAAAAUAUUUACUUAGUUAAUGUUACAGGUUAAUCAUGUACCAAUUCGUUUAAAAAAUGACUAAUAUACUAUUUUAUUAAAUGAUUACUAUUACUAUUUUGAUGACCUUUUUGUCAUUUCAUACAUUUAUAUAAUUUUUAAAUAAAAAAAUUAAAACUAACCUAUUUAAGAAUUGAAUAUGUGUUUAAUAGAUUUAUAAAUAAAUUAUUUAUCACUACACUUAUAAUAAUUCUAAAAUAAAUUUUAAAAAAUAUUAAAUUUUAACAUAAAAUGUUUUCUCUCAUCAAGUUUUGGUCACAUGGACAUACGUGUGUAUAAAUAAUGUCACUAAUUGCAUUAGUAUCAUAAGCCAACCUCAUAUUUAAUUAUUUAAAAAAUAAAAUUUAAAUAUUGAAUUUUCUUUUCACUAACUUGUUAACUUUUUAACAUCUUAUAGAAAAAUAACAAUAUCAUGAUAAACAAUUAGAGUGCAUUUAAUAUUCUUAAUAUGAUAUAUUUACCUCUUUGAAAUAUCUUUUAUUUAUAAGUUAGUUUAUUUAUUUAUUUUAAUUUCGUACGUAUUGCAUAUAUGUUGUUAAUCAACUUGACACUAACUCAUAAUUAAUGAUAACAAAAUGCACAAUUAUAUCGUAUUUAAUAUUAUUUAUCAGAUGUGUUUAUAUGAUUAAUUUUUUAUAUAAUAUUAGGGGUAGAGGAUGAGAGUAGUACGGUUCCAUCCUUUUUUAAAUAAAUAUCUACCUUUUAAGGGUGAGAUUAAAUAAAUUAAAUAAUAAUCAUCAUAAAAAAAAAGGAUGAUGUAACAAGUUAUGAAAUGUAACGAAGCAGGACUGACGUCAGCACUAACCAGCCAGAAGUUGAACAAGGCUCGAACAAAAUCUAAGGGUUACAACGGUAAUUUCAGUUAUUACAAGUGUCGGUUACCUGCUUUUGUUUGGCCAAAUUUCAUGCGAAAGUCCCUGUACUAUGCGCAUCUUAGCAGAUUUAGUCUCAUUAUUAUAAUUUGAUCCUUUUUAAUUAUUUUAUUUUUUGAAAUAUGUAUUUUCAAUAUUGAGGUUAAUUUUUUUCCUUAAUUAUGUUAGAUAAAUUGAUAUGUUUUUUUAAACAUGUGAUGACGUAAUACAUAUACUUAGCAAUUUUAUAUAGUUGAACAAAUUUUUUGCACAUUUAAAAAAAAUAUAAUAACUGUCAAAUUAUACGAAAAAAAAGUCUGUCUGUAUGGCGCAUCACAUCAUGAUAUAUUUAAGAAAAAAAUUGAUCCAAUGUCAAAUUACUUGAAGGAAUUCACACAAAAAACUAGAUUUUGAACAACAAAACCUUUAGAAAUGAUAAAAUUAUAGUAGAAAGAUUAAUAUAUAAAAUAAUACAUAAAUCAGGGACCAUUAAUGGGAAUUUACCUUUUUGUUUUUAAAUGUCCGAACCACUGUUCCGAAAAUGUUUACCAAUUUUUGCAGGUGCGCUUUAUUUGGCGGGUACAAAAUAAAUAAUAAAUAAUAUAUAAAUAAAAUAAUCAAACAAGGCUAAAAUUAAAAAAAGAAAAACUUCGAAAAUCAAACCGUACGGUAUUUUUGAGAGAGCGAAAGAAACAAAGCUCCCACAUAGUGAAAAGGAAUCUCUUUUCUAUCUUCUUCUUCUUCUUCUUAGCAAAUUUCAGCUCUCGAUUGAGCUCUUUUCGAUCUUUCUAGAACAUUCCAUUUAUCUCCGUGGAACCUUCCAUUUUCUUUUUUUGUUUGAUUUUUUUUUUCCGGCGAAGUCGGUAAGGUUAUUAUUGUUCUACGGACCCCCCUCGCCCCCACCCACACAAUCAAAUCCCGUUUCGAUGGAGUUGUACGGUCGUAACCCGACUCGUAAUGGGUCUCAAUCCGGUUAUCAACCCGAAUGGAGCCCCGCUGGGCCCGAAACUGGACUGGAAGGUAUUUUUUUUCGUUCAUUUCAAUGUGUAUGGAUUUUUUCUUUUCCUUUUUCUACUCGCAUUGUGACGACGUUUCUCUGGUAAACCUUGUUUUAGGGUUUUUUUUAUUAAUAAUGCGGAGAGCGAAUUAGGGUUUUAUUCGUGUUUCUUUGUUGUGGUACAGAAUCGAUGUGGCAAUUGUCGGUGAGGGGCGUCGAAUCGUACCCGGAACGGCUCGGGGUGACUGAUUGCGUUUACUACAUGCGAACGGGGUUUUGUGGUUACGGUAAUAGCUGCCGUUACAAUCAUCCCCGCAACCGUGCCGCGGUAAAAUUUUCAAUCAUUAGUUUAUUUAGUUUUGUAUGCAAUGUUUGGUUCAGCAUUGAAAUGUUAUUGAUUAAUUUGUCUGAGAAUUUUACUGUGUAACUGAGUGAACUUAGUAUUAAGAACAAUGGAAGUGAACAAUGCGGUUUAAUCAUGGUACAUUUUGAUAAUAAUAGUGCAUAACUGAAGCAACCUUCCCUGCUAUGAUCUAUGUAUACCGCAAUAUCGAAAGAAAACUCUUAUAUGGUAGUUAUUAUUGUCAUGCCCAAAUUGGUUGUAAUCUUUUGUUGAGGAAACCUGUAAAAUUAAAAUGGUCGGCGUGUGCUUGGUGCUCUGGCAUGUACUAUGGAGCUCAAAUCGGUCAUUACUCCAUAAUUUGAGGGAGCAUCUACAUAAAAGAAGAGGAAAAUGUAGAGAGUCACCCUUGCUUGCCUUUAUGGAGGCCAUCACCUUAUACAGAAGGCAUAUAAGUAGCAGGUAGUUACUAAAAUAUCCUUAGAGUCCUUAUGGGUAUAACAAUCAUUACUGAUUAUGUUUUCCUGAUAAUUUCAUUCAUAUAAUAUAUAUUUGUUGCUUAUCAUGUGAAGGGGCUUUUAUGCAAAUGCCUUUUUUAAUGCAUUGUUUCCCUUUAAAUAGAAACAGGAAACUACAAUUUAGAAGUUAUGCUUGACAUCCUCUGUUCCGAGUUUAAAUGAUUUGAGUGACUUGCAACUUAAGUCUGUUUCUUUACCGACUUCCCUAACACUGGUCAUUCUGUUGGCUCAUGUCUUACACUCUAUUUCAUACCAAACUAUCAGAUGCCAAGCAAGUUGGUAGAUGUUAUUUCAGUAUAUUUUGAGCAAAAGAUUUCUUUUUUUAUUAUGUGGUAAGAGAAUCAAGUGAAGUAUACCUUGGAAUUGUUUUUCUUGGACCUACCUCAAAUUAACAGUUGAAACUCAGGUGUUCUUUAUUUAUUGCAAAGGAAAUAGAAUAACAUGAUUCAAAUAAGUUAUUUGCUACCUUCAUUUAUAGUUAAAAAUGAAUUGAGGAUAGUCCUUGAUAGAAUUGGACUAUGUAAGAGAAUUUACUUCGGUCAUCUGGCCUGUUGUUUUAAACUGAGGCAGGAAUUAUCUCGUUUUCAGCUUUAAGUUUUUUUCAAGAGUUGAAUCCCUUAUUUUUAUUUGGUUCUGAUGCCAUUUAGGUUGAGGCUGCAGUAAGAGCAACAGGGGAGUACCCUGAACGACCAGGGGAACCUAUAUGUCAGGUAGAAGAGUAAAUUAGUUUUUGAAAAAUGCAAAAUUGUUUUUCUGUGAGUCAACUCUGCUAAUUAAAGCUGCAAAGACCUCUCUUUUUAACUUGUUUCUUUUCCUUUUUCUCUUUUUGCACGUGCAGUUUUAUUUAAAAACCGGAACCUGUAAAUUUGGUGCAUCCUGUAAGUUCCAUCAUCCAAAAGAUGGAGGUGGAUCCUUUAGCCAUGUUUCAUUGAACAUGCAUGGAUACCCAUUACGACCGGUUUGUAUAGUCUCUUUUCUUGCUUUUUCCUCAGUUCUUAUUCAUAUGUUUUUAGGAUUCUUAAAACAACUAGGCAUCAAUUUGAUGCACGUCCAUUAUCAGGGUGAGAAAGAAUGCUCCUACUAUUUGAAAACGGGGCAGUGCAAAUUUGGUAUUACUUGUAAAUUCCAUCAUCCUCAACCAUCUGGAACAUCAAUGUCAGCAUCUGCACCUCAAUUUUAUCAGCCGGUGCAGUAUGGGGGGGCAUCUACCAAUGUGAGAGUGGCAAGGCCUCCACCUUUACCUGGUUCAUACGUUCAAGGGGGAGCUUAUGGUCCUGUACUGUUUUCCCCAGGAGUGGUUCCUAUUCCGGGUUGGAGUCACUACUUGGUAGGGUGAUCAGCAAGUUGCAUUAAAAGAUAUAUCAAGACUAUAUGCGAUUCCUGAAUCUUUUUUGGCUUACUUGGUGCAGGCACCUGUAAGCCCAGUGCUCUCUCCUGGUGCACAACCUGCUGCUGGAGCAACUUCUCUCUAUGGACUAACGCACCUAUCUUCUUCAACACCUUCACUUGCAGGUCCUUAUUCCUCAUUGCCCUCUUCUACUGGCCUUUCAAGGAGUAACCAGAUGGAACAUACAUUUCCAGAGAGACCUGGUGAACCUGAAUGCCAAUACUAUUUGAGGACUGGGGACUGUAAAUUUGGAUCAUCUUGUAGGUAUCAUCAUCCUAGAGACAGGGUUGUGCCACAAACAAAUUGCGUCCUCAGCCCAAUGGGACUUCCUUUACGUCCAGUAUGAACAUUCUCAUUACUUCUUAUUAUAUUGUUUUCUUCUGUUAUGAUAAUUACUCUCAUUUAGAGCGGGCAUUUAAGAGAUCAUGACUUAAAGAUCUUGCAUCAUAAAUUGGGUUUGGUUAGGCUAAUAUGUUUUAAGUACCUGUAUUAUCUUUGAUUGUCCUGUUAGUUCAAACUUCCCUAUUAUCUGCUAUGCAGUUAGAAGUUUUUGUUCCUUGGGGAGGAAAUAAAGAGACGGCCCUUCAGCCCUAGCCCCUCUUAAUUAAUUUUACAAUUUUCUUUAAGAGAACUUCUACCCCAGUAAAAUAUAGACUAGGUGUGCUUCAUUUAGUGCAGGAUUGAGAGGCUUCAGUAAUGGUCAUCUUUAAUGGAUUUGAGAUUUCUUCAUGCACUAUCGACUGCUUUAUUUCUUACAUCCUGCCAAGAAUCUAUUGUUGAAGGUUUAUGCUGGCCUCAAAACUUAGGAAUCGAACUAUUUCUUUCUAGAUGGUUUAGGUUGGUCAAAGCUUCAUAAUGAAUAUCGCGUUCAGAGCAGUUUAGUAGAAGAAAUGACUAUUAUUUACAUUUGUUGGUAAGUUUGAUGAUUGAUGAUAUUAGAUUUGGUCUUUAGAGAAGGUGUAUGAUGGAGCAUUUUUGUCAGGGCUUCUCAAGGCUAUGUUACUUUGACUAUUCAUUUUCCUUGAAGUGUGGUGUCCAACACUCAUUUGCUACACAUAGUUGGAAAUUGUAUAGGGAUAAAAUCCUCCAAAUAUAUUGGAAAAAUAUUGAGCAUAUCCAUGUUAGACGCAUAGCCAUAUCUGACACUCAUCCCAGAGUCUGAGUAAUAUAGUCUCAGGGUUUCUAAUAUUCUUGUUGUCAGAAGAGAUGAUUAGGAAGAUUCCACCAAUUUAUGGUGGAGAUUAGUAUGUUUUUUUGUUUCAAUUGGAGAAGCUAGGCAACUUAACUCCAUCAAGGUUCCCUAUGUUUUAAACUACACAUAGUUAAGGUUUUAUUACUGUUUUUUUUAAUUUCACUCAUGUUUUUGGCUAGAUAGACUUGCGGUUGAGUUAAUAGCUGCCUUUAGCUUUACAUACUAAGGUUCUUAAUCCAAUGCUUCCUAAUCAAGUGCUGCCUUUGAUUGGGCACCCUCACAGCCACUCUCUUCAACUUGGCCUGAUGAGACAAAAUUAUGCUAUGUGAGGGUGUGAUUAAAUGGUUUUUACCCACUUUUUCAUUUACAUUUCUCGUAAUGUGAGUCUUGAUUAGCUAGGGCUGAUCAAGUAUGGACUAUGGAGUGAAUAGUAAUUCAUCAACUUGUAAUUUAUAGUUUUAGUAACAUAUGCUUCGGUCAUUCACUUUUGCAGGUGAUGUUUGUUAUCUAGUCCUGAAAGAAGUUUUAUGUUUAUAGCUCUUCUUGAGUUAUGCUAUUAAGCAAUUCUAGCAUGAUUAUAUACUUGAGUCAAAUUGUAGCGUUUUAAUGGAUGUAAAGCAAUAACAAUGCUAUUCUGCAUUAACAUUUGCUAGUUCUGGUUAUAGCUAUUGCAUCCCUUGAAUUUCAGAUCGAUCAAGACUUUAGUGAUCAUAUAUCUUGUAAUUCUAUUAUAAUAGCAAUUAUGUACUAUCUUGUGCUUUAGUAACUCUACUCUGUAAUACUGGGAAUGAUGUUUUUGACACAUUACAUUUUGCUUCUUAAAUUGCAUACAGGAUUUUGUCCCUUGCAACUUUUCUCAUUUUUUUAGAAAAUAUUUUAAUUUGAUUUUUUUUAUUUCCUGUAAACAGGGGGUGCAGCCUUGUGCUUUCUACUUGCAGAAUGGGCACUGCAAGUUUGGGUCCACAUGCAAAUUUGAUCAUCCGGUGGGAACAAUGAGAUUUAGUCCAUAGCAGCGUUUCUCAUUGAUACACCAGUUGCCGUGUUCUACUGGGUCUUUACUGGCUACAUUGGCCUAUCCUGUUCCCCUUUCAGAUUUUCAGCUUUCAAGCACGAGACAGGAUUGUGAGGUUUGUCACUCAAAUCGAUGCAAAAUGCUAGAGCCAUUUUUCAUUUUCUUGCCGAUGUGAUUUCACCAUCCUUGAUAUAUUUUCUGUUGAUAGAGAUCUCAGUAUAUUAUAGUCAAUUGUGCAAAGUUAUAUUUCUCAGAAGCAAGGGUUGUCAACAAAUCUGCCUUACCACACAAUCGGACCACUAUUUUAUGCCUCUCUUGUCUUUAUUUACUGUCAAAUAUAAUCUGGAAUAAGCUUUUGUAGCAAACAGUGUAUGAACUCCUAUCUACCGCUCUCUUCCAAAUAAAUCGAAGCAGAGAGCCGUUAUAUCAGGUUAGCCUCUGACUGUACUUUCAACUUGAUGUUUUAUAUGCUUUGUUCAUUUGCAAUGAGGAAUUGAAGAAUGAUUUCCACUUCCCUGUAUGUCUUAAAUCUUCUCCAUGCCUUUUUAUCACUUGAUUUUACAGAUUUCCCUGCUGCUUAUUUCUGUUUAGGCAGAAUUAGCAAUUUAUGCAUUUGUGCCGUGUGUCGUCCUCGUGUCACUUUCCUGUCACAAUCGAGUUUUUGGUAUUAUAUGUUUUAUAUAAAUUUUGACACGUUAAUAAAGCAUUUUUUCUGUGUUUUUUCGACUCUUAGUUUCUUUUUUUUUUUGCAUUGCUCAUGUCCAGCAUUCAUAUCAGAUGCUCAUGUCUAACGAUGGUAUCUGAUGUAUAUCCGGACAUAAUUAUGGGGCAUGAUUCUUAAAGGACCUUUCAAAAUAAUGGGAAAAUUUGCAAAGAAAUGAGCACACCUUUGUUGGAUACAUGUAUGUAUCCUUGCAUGCUAAGGAGAUGAUACUAAACGGCAAAGAUUCUUUUUGGCAUUGUACUUGUUUAGUUGGUGACCCAAUUUUUUGGGCUUUUUUUUAUGGUCACCCAAAUAAAAAUACUUGCAAUUUGAUCAUUGUCAUUAGAGAAAUUUUCAUUUUAAUCACCUAACUGUUAAAUCUAUAAUUGUUAAUUAUAUAAUUGAGGCUGACUGUGCACGACACAUCAUUUUUGGCAAAUUUUUUUAUCUCAUGUUACUGUACAUCUUCUUUCUCACUUUUUUAUCAAAAUAACUCAAAUAAUUUAAUUAAGUAUUAAAAUGACCUUUUUUUAAUUAAACACGAAAAUGAUCUUAAAUUUACAAUAAAAGUUCGUGAAGUCAAAUUAUAUGGUGUUACUAAUUUGUCAUGUCAGUAAAGAGCAUAAAAAAUUAAUUUUUUAAUGGAGUUAUAGAAAUAUUGUAAUUUUUGAAAAAAGGGACUUAAAAACAAUUUUUUAAAUUUUUUGGUGGAGCCAAAGACUUGAGACGCUUCUGAUUUUUUAUUACUUUUUUUAACUUGUCUUUUUUUUUUUAAGUUUUAUACUUUUUCUUAUUUUAUUUUUUUGUUAUUAAUUUAAAAAAAUUUGAAAUGUAUAUUUGAAAUGUUUUAUAAUAUAUAUUUUUUAAAGUUUUAAAUAUUAUUUUUAAAUUAUUUUUUUUAAAUUUUAAAUGUAUAUUUUUGAAAUUAUUUCUUAUAAAUUUUAAAAAUAUAUAUUUGAAAUCAUUUUUUAAAAUAUUAAAUAUUAUUUUUAAAUACUGAAUAUAUUUUUAAUAAUAUUUAAACAUUUAAAAUUUUAUAAAUUUUUUUUAAAAAGGUUUAAAUAUCUUUAAAAAUAAUUAAAAAAUUAUAAUUUAAAAAAUUCUGAAAAAAUGAGGUACUUUAUAAACAAUUUUCUAAUUUUUAGUGGAACUAAUUUAAAUGGCGCCACAGAAUCUAUGCUGAUACCUUGCUUUUGAUUUUCUUUAAUUUGUUUUUUUUUUUUACUUUUUUUUAACUUUUGUCUUUUUCUUUAAUUUUUUUUAAGUUUUAUAUUUUUUCUUAUUCUAUUUUGUUUAUUUAUUAGAUUAAUUUUAAAAAAAAAAAUUAUAUUUGAAAUGUUUUAUAUAUAUAUUUAAAAUUUUAAAUAUUUUUUAAAAUUUUAAUUUUUUUUAAAAAAUUAAAUAUAGUUUUUAAUAAUAUGAAAUAUUUAAACAUUUAAAAGAUAUGAUCUUUCAAAUUUAUUAUUGUUUUAUUUUUUAAUAAUAUAAAACAUUUAAAAUUUUUAAUAAAAAAUUAAAAAUGGUUAAAUAUAUUUAAAAAUAAUUAAAUAAUAAUAAUUUAAAAAAUUCUAUGUAAAAAUUGAUAUUUUUAAAGAUAUUUAAACCUUUUUAAUUUUUUUAUAAAAAUUUAUUUAAAAAUUUUAAUGUUUAAAUAUUAUUAAAAAAUAUAUUUAAUAUUUAAAAAAUAAUAUUUAAAAUAUAGAAAAAUUAAUUUCAAAAAUACAUUUUUAAAAUUUAUAAUAAAUAAUUUAAAAAUAUAUAUUUAAAAUUUUAAAAAAAAAUUUUAAAAUAAUAUUUAAAAUUUUUAAAAAAUAAUAUUUAAAAUUUUAAAAAAUAUAUAUUAUAAAACAUUUCAAAUUUUUUUAAAAUUAAUAACAAAAAAUAAAUAAAUAAAAUAAAAUAAGAAAAAAUAUAAAACUUAAAAAAAGAAAAAAGUUAAAGAAAAAGACAAAAGUAAAAAAAUCAAAAGCAGCGUGUCAGGUCUGGUGGUGCCAUUUAAAUUAGUUCCACCAGAAAAUAAAAAUUAUUUUGAAGUCCCCUAUUUUUCUAGAAAUUAUAGUAUUUUCCUUGUAUUUAUACAAGUGGCGCCAUUUUACAUGGUUCCACUAAAAAAUUAAUUUUUUAUGCUCCCUAUUGACGUGGCAAGUUGGUGGCGUAAUAUAAUUUGGCUCCACCAACUUUUAGUGUAGAUUUAGGGUCAUUUUCAUGUUUAAUUAAAAAAGUGAGUCAUUUUGAUACUUAAUUAAAUUAUUUGGGUUAUUUUGAUAAAAAAGCCUCUUUCCCUUCACACCACACUACCCGUACUUUCACCCUUCUUAUUUUUCCUUUGCUUUUAAGUUUCCAACUUGUUCCAAUAAAUAAAGAGAAAAAAAAUUCCAAUUUCUAAGGAUUGUAGUAAGAUAUGGAAAUUAAAUAAAAAACCCAGUAUUAAAAAAAAGACAACCCAAAUCAACAACAAUACUAAAUGAACAUUCUUUAUCCAAAAAACCAAGACUUAACUUUAAUUGCUAAAAAAGAGCUCAGCUGUUGUUUAUCCAUUAAUAUGAAGAAAACCAACAAUUGAUCUAAAAUCAAACUAUAUGUUAAAAAAAAAAUUAAACAGAUCUAAGAAAAUUCAGAUCAAAACCACCAAAAACCUUUUUCUUCCCAUUGGAUAUAUGGAAAAAAAAAAUGAUAUUAUAACUGAACUUCAAAAGAGAGGAUCAAGGUCAACAAUGGCAACACAGGGAUGUAGCGUAAACUCAAAAACUAAAACAACCCCAUCAAGAGAUAAAACAACACUCUUACUUUUAGCCUAGAGUAUGUGUAUGUACAUAUAUACACAGUAUUCAAAUUAUGAAUCUGGCCAUCUAUUUUAGACAAAAGACAAAAGUCAAAUAUAAAUAACAGUUAGUUAGAUCAUGAAAAUUUUAAUACAAAAAUAAAAUAUUAGUUAGCUUUCUGUUGAAAGCAGGUUUUCAUACGUGAAUAGUGGCGACUACUUUAAAACAAAAAGGGAGAUUCUUGCCUGUUUAUUCUUUUUUUCAGUUUCUUCUCUUCGAUUUUGUAAUGAAUUUCUCGAUAAAAAUGUGACAUUCCAAUGCUCCAAACUCUGUACCAUCGAUCACCUUCCUCUUCCUGUCAGCUUUGGUAUCCUCCUCUUCUUUGGUAGCAUCACUUAAAAGCUUGUAACAACGAGGCUUUUAGGUGCUUAGAACUGGGCAGUCUCUGAAUUUUGACACAACAUAACAUGAACCAUAAAAGAUAGAUUUAAAAAAAAAAAAAGAUGGUGCGGUGGCUGGAAGCAAAGUGCAAAGAAAGAAGAAGAAUGUCAGCGGGAAGGGUGGUGUGGAGGGGAAGAAGAUGAUGAAGAGUGGAAGAGGAGGUAAAAAAUUGGUCAAAAAUGAUGUGGCGUGUAUAGUUGGCUGCCUUUAGAGAUUUAACGUUUGAGUGACAAAUGAAAAAAUUUUCUAACAACAAUGAUCAACUUGCAAGUAUUUUUAUUUGAAUAACUAAAAUGAAAGCGCUAAAAAAGUUGGUGAUCAACUAAGUAGUUUAUCUUACUUUUUAUUUGUUAUAAAUGUUCUUGAAUGACAUAUAAAUUUUGUAACAACCCCAAACCCAACUUAGGCGUUCAGACCAAGUCCAAAGAGUUAUAUUGACAUUACUAGAGAAAUCCAUUUUUAUAACACAAAUAAAGAAACCAUUCGACAAAUUAUAACAGUUAUAAAGGUCAGCCAAUAAUCCAAUAACCUUAAAGUCAUAUUACUAGAGAAUGCUGAAAUUACUAAUAAUAAUAAUAAUAAAGGGUGAUAAAGGAAGUUGACCGAGCUCCCGCCAUGCUGACCCGAUCAAGAUUGUGCAUUACCUAAAAUUUAGUCAAUAACAAAAUGAGUUGAAAACUCAGCAUAUAAUCAUAAUAGGUUCAUCUAAAAGCAUAAUCACAUAGUAAAUUAUUGAAUCUCAUAUGUCAAUCAGAAAUAAAGAAUAGUUAGUGCAGAUUUAAAGUAUUAGUUAUGCAUUAGAACGAUUCCAGUUCAUAUACGGUACAAAUCAGGAACAGAUGCAGUUAUUCCUACCCCUACAACUACAUGCCAUCUUCGACAGUACAAACACACCAUUAAAGGCAUUUAAUACCCAUCCAACCUUACACACCGGAAGUGUCAAUCUGACACGUUCAAUGAGGUGCAAAUUAGCUGCCAGAUCGAAAUAUGAUAAAAUGCCAAAUUCACAUAAAAUCGUGGCUUUGGCUAUUGAAUCAGAACAGAUCACUUCAUCCUUUACAAAAUUCCCAUCCCAUACAGUGCAGAUUACAGAUAUCAAGAACAUAUGCUCAGUUAUUCAGACUCAAUUCAUAAUUAAGUGAUAUUUAUCAAUAUCAUCGACAGUCUUCAUAAUACGUAUACAUUUAUAUAACCAACACCUCAGUCUCAAAACAUCAAAUAGCACUCAUACAAUCUAAUUAGAUCAUAAAUACAUUGUGGAAGGCCAAUGUUCGUGUUAGACGACGCUUACGACCUCAGAGACAAGUAUUAGAGUUUUUCCCACAAACCACAAGGCUUGACACACGCCCGUGUGCCCACUCGUGUGUCUCACACGGCUCGGCAUACGCUCGUGUCAUCUGCUCGUGUGGUCCUAAGUCGUAAAUAAUGAGUUACAUGGCCUGGACACACGCCUGUGUCCCUAACUCAUGUGUUCCUUAUGUUGUACUUAGUGAGUAACAUGGCCUUGACACACGCCCAUGUCUUUGGCCCGUGUGAACUCUGUACUAAUAUAACCACACACGGCCUGGACACAUACCUUUGUGGCUCGUAUUUGGUGAACAGUAUGUUACAUGACCUAACACACGGCCGUGUGGCAUUGAUAGUCAUAUUUUUUGGCAUUCAAAAUUUAUAAAAACUUAGGUUUUUGGUACGCACUUGAAGUGAUUUCUAAGUAGGAACAAGUUAUAGGAUCCUCGAAGCCUAAAACGAUCAUCCAAUAACUCAAUCAACUAAAUUUAUCGACAAUGAUGCACAAUUAUGCGCAGAACACUUAUGUCAAAAGUUUCGACACAAAACCUUCAACGAAUUCAACACUUACUAAAAGACCAACAACAAUUACUCGAAUUGACUUGCCGAGAUUCGCUACUUCUAACACCUACUCCUAAAAUAAGGAAACCAAAAUCAUUUAACUAAGAGAAUUUAUCUAUUAGCGCAAAACUAUCUCAACGACACGAAACCGUCGUUUCUUAGAACUUUUGACAGAAUUACACAAUUAACUUUCAGUUGAUAUCACAGAAACGUACUUACCCAACCCGAACAUCAGAUCAGAAGAAGAAGUCCAACAAUCGAUAACAGAAAUGUCCAAGAGAUAUUGUAGCGACGUAAAAAUUUUGCUUGGUCUCUAAUUGAGGUGACUUAUUGGAAAUUUGAAAACCGAUUUUCGGUUUUUAUUAAAAAAUGGAGUAGCCACCAAUCUUUUUUCUAGGUGUGAUGGGACACCUAAUAAAUUUAUUUUUUAAACAAAAAGAAGGCCGAGUUUAGGUCUACGUCAAAAGCCAGAGAAGAAAUAGGGUUCGGGAGUCGGUUACGCUCGAGGAAGGUAUUAGUACCCUCGCGACGCCCAAAAUUGGUAUAUUGUAAAACAUGCGUUGUCUUGAUUCUAAAAAAUACGAGUUCAAUUUAAAUUUUAAUCGUGAUCCGGCCAAAACACGAGAAUUUUUUAUAAUUUCGAUCUCUUUUGAGAAGGACGUUCCCUUUUUUACACGAGCCGAUGAUAUUCACCCAACAUAGCGAUAAAAUCAACGACUUAAUGUUAAAUCGGCACGUUACCUUAUUUAUUGAAAUUAAUUUAAAGACAUGAAUGAAAAUAUUUCUAGAUAAAACAAAUAAAACUAAAAGAAAACUAAAAUUGAUGUUGCACUAUGGCAUGAACUACUAAUGCUAAACUCGGAAUAGACAAAUAUUAAUAAAAAGUUAAGAAUAUACGAAACAGAUAAUAUAUAGAACAUUAACAAUAUACAUGCAAUAGUAAUAGUAUAAAACUAUAAUAAUGCAUAUGGUAUUAAACAUGAUAGUAAUAGCAUUAAACACGAAAUAAAAUCAUGAAUAUAUAUAAACAUAUAAUAAUAAAUGAAGUGACGUAAACAUAAUAUUAAAAAUACUAAUAGUGCUAUAUAUAUAAAUUAAAGUAUGUGUAAUGAUAAGAGUGAAAGGUGUAUACAUAGUAAUACUAAAAUACAUACGUAAUAUAUACCUACAUAAUAUAUAAAAUGAACAUAUACAAGAUACAUUAUAAAUACUAAUAACAUAAAAAAUAUAUACAUUAAUAAUACUACACAAAUAUAUACAUAUAUUUUAAAAUAAAUACAUAAUAAUAUUAGAAUAAAAUAAUAAGUGUAAUAAUAAAUAUAAGGAUAUAUGAAAAUAAUACUAUUUAUAAAAAUAUAUAUACGUAUAAUAAAAUACAUAUACUAAUAUUAAUAAUAAAUAUAAUAGGAAUAAAAAUAAAUAAAAUAAUAGUAAAUAUAUGAUGUGGUAUUAAAAAGAUAUAUAUGUAAUAGUAUUCAAGAAGAUAUGAAAAAUAAAAAUAUACAAAUAAUAUGGUAUUAGAGGUAUAUACAUAACAUAUAUAAAAAUGCAAUAUUUAAAGAUACAUACACACAAUAUAUAUAAAAAUGUUAAAAUAUUUACAUAGUAUAUACAUAUUAAAAAUAAUGCUAAAAGACAACUCUUAAUAUUACUACAUAACUACAUACAUAUAUAUUAAAGAUAUAUACACAAAAUAGAACACAUACUAACAUUGAUAAGAACAUAUACAAGAAAUAGUAUAAAACGUAUAACUAAUAAUACUAAAGAUAUAUACAUAACAUAUAUAAAAACAUAUACGAUACACAUAUAUAUUAGAAACGACAAUAAUGUUAAAAAAACUAUUAAUAGUAUUACAUGAAUAUACAUAGAUAUAUGUAUAUUAAAGAUAUAUGCAUACAUAAUUAACAUAUACUAUUAAUAAUAAUAAUAAGAAUAAUAUAAAUAAUAGUAAAUAUAAUAAUAUUAAGUAACAUUAAAAAUAAUUAAUUUAAUAAUAAAGAUAUGAAAAUAACCUGAAAGGACUAAAAUUGGAUGAAGGACAGAAUUCUGGGGCGAAUUUGAAAUAAAGAGAAAGAGAACGGGACCAAAUUAAACGCGCAAAAAAUAGGGGAGGGACCAAAAGCACAAUAAACCCAUUUGCCCCAAAACGCGCAGUAUUAUGGGGACUAAAUCAAAAAUCGAAGUAAACUAUUGGGCCAAAUUGAAAAUAACAACAAAUUUGAUUGUAAAAUCAUAAAAUGCGGAAGGGUCAAGAGCGCAAUUAGCCCUUCUGCUAUAAAAACACGCGGAUCCUAGCGGGUCGGGUCGAGUCGGUCCGACCCGGGGCCAAAAGGACGUCGUUUUCUUUUAAACGGGGGGACCAAAACGCACCGUUUUGGUCCUUAUAAAAGACAAAUUUUUUUUAAAAAAAAUCAUUUGAACGGGGGAAAGAAAAAAAAAGAGGGAGAGGGGGAGGGAAGAGAUUUUCGGCCAUGGGCUGGUCAUCGGUCUGAUCGCCGGACCGUCGCCGGCGCCGGCGCUGGCCACUGUGCGUGGUGGCAGGAAAAUGUAAUUUUUCUUUUUAUUUUUUUAAUUAUUUGUUUUAUAUUUUUUAUGUUUUAAUAUAUAUAUGUGGAAAAAUGAAACCAAAACAGAAUUUAAAAUGAAAAAAAAAAUCACCUUAGGCUUUUCACACUUUUGAUUCUUCGAUCUUUGGUAUUCGGUUUGCUUGGAUGCUAUUCUUGUAUUUAAACUGAUUGAAUUGCUAUUUUUACUCUGAAAUCGAAUGUUUUUUCUUAUUUUUGUGUUUGAACUGCCAAACCCAAAACAUAAUUUAGAUUUUCCUUUUUAUAGCCUUUUACAAUGCCCUCAAUCUUAUUGUUGCGUGUUUACUUGACUUUGCAAGUAGGUUGAUGGCCGGUGGAGGUGACCAUGGGGCAGAUGGCGCCAGGGGAUGGUGUUGCAGCAGGUAGGUGGUGGCAGAGGCAAGUGGGGGGAGGCAAGUGGGGAGCUAGGGUUUCUGGAUUGGGCUUGGUUGUUGGGCUAGGUUGAUUUAGGUUAGUAUUGGGCUGAGGGCGUAAAAUGGGUCUGUUAGGUAGGUUUGGGUAGUUUUUGAUUUAGUUUGGGUUUUGAUGUAAUGGGUUUAGUUAUUGUAAUUGGGUAGUGGGUCUGGUUGUAACUGGGUUUUGGGUUAUUUGUAUUCAGGCCCGGGCAAUUUGGGCUUCUACAGCUGCCCAUCUUUGCUCAUUGUCGUGCAACGGGAAUAGAGCAAAGACUCUCAAAGAAGACAAAACUUGCCCGGUCCUGCUGGGUCUUGACUUGCUUUGGAGCUCCUCUUUUCCAAAUAGUCUCGUUCUAAUCCACCAUAUCUUGUAGCUUCAAUCUAUUCAAAUGUAACUUCAAGGAUAUGAGAUUUGUGGCUUCGAUCUGCUUCACUGUAACUUCAGCAAGAUAAGAUCUACAGCUUCAAUCUGCUCUUCUAUCGCUUUAGUGAGAUAAGGUUUUGGGUCUUCUCUUCUGCCACUUCAGAAAGGCAAGAUCUGAUAUCCUCGAUCAGCUCCACUGCAACUUCAGAUAUACAAAAUCUGGUGUUUCCAAUCAGCUCCAAUCUUUAUUCUUUACUCGGCACGUGAUCCUGAGCUCAACUCAUUUCUCGCAAUAUGAAUUGACUCUUUAAAAACAGACAUUAAAAACAGAAAUUGAAAAUAGCUCAGCGCGUGAGCCAAUGCGCAACUCACCCUUCGCAAUAUGAGUUGUUUUUGAAACUUAAUCUAAAAAGUAGAUUUUGAAAAUACCUCGCCAUGUGACCCGAUGCUCAACUCACUUCUCACAAUAUGAGUUGAUUUUUUUUUGAAAAAAAAGAAACUGAAAUACCUCAGUAUGUGAGCUGGGGCUCAACUCAACUCUCGCAAUAUGAGUUGAUUUUUUUGAAAAGCAGAAAUUGAAAAGAAGAAAUUGAAAAUUCCUCAGCGUGCCAUGAGGCUCAACUCAUCUCUCGCAAUAUGAGUUAAUUUUUGACAAACAGAAGUUGAAAUUACCUCAGCGUGUCCUAAGGCUCAACUCACCUCUCGCAAUAUGAGUUGAUUUUUUUUUUGAAAGAUAGAAAUUGAAAAUACCUCAACGUGUCUUGAGGCUCAACUCACCUCUAGCAAUAUGAAUUGAUUUUUGAAAAACAUAAAUUGAAAAACAGAAUUUGAAAAUACCUCAGCGUGUCCUGAGGCUCAACUCACCUCUCGCAAUAUGAGUUGAUUUUUGACAAAUAGAAAUUGAAAAUACCUCAGCGUGGCCUGAGGCUCAACUCACCUCUCGCAAUAUGAGUUGAUUUUUUUGAAAAACAGGAAUUAAAAAUACCACAGCGUGACCUGAGGCUCAACUCACCUCUCGCAAUAUGAGUUGAUUGAUUUUUUUUGAGUGACAGAAAUAGAAAAUACCUCAAUGUUUCUUGAGGCUCAACUCAUUUCUUGCCAUAUGAGUUUAAUUUUGAAAACAGAAAUAAAAACAUCAAAAUACCAAAACCUGUCAUCUGGUGGAACUCAUGUGUCUUUUCCUUUGAUUCAGUACAGCUAUCAUCACAUCCUCUUGCUCUACUGGAGUAUCUGUAUAUGUCAUGCAUGAUGUUAUCAUGAUAUGCACAUGUUUGUCUUAAAUGCCUUUAUGCCUACAUGAUUUUGCUAUGCGCUUCAGGCAUGUUUGUCGUAUGUCCUUUUUCGUCACGAUUUUUGUGAUGAUCUGUAUUCAUUAUUUCGGCUCUUGAUUUUUUCUUUAGGCCCUGUACCAAUCCUCAAGCUUCACGAGUAAUCUAUGUUUCUCAGAUAUCACUCUUUUGCCCCUGGUUGAACUUUGUCCUUGCUUUAAGGCUCUUGUACUUAUCAAAUUCUUAUCCGGGUAAUGCUUAACAUUUCUUUUGUUUAGAGUAUGUCAUUUCACUGUUUAUCAUGUAAAUGAGCCACAUAAUGAGAUGCAUGAAAAUGGUCAGGUAGGGACAAAAGGAUACCUCACAUUUAUUCAUUUCAAAUACAGCAAACAAAGAAAGUUAACCAAUGAUAGUGAAAAAGUGUCAAAGAGAAAAGGGAUUGCAUUCAACGGGUACGAAUACUUUAGAUAUUCAACGCAUGAACUCUUCCCCGUUCUUCAGUAAAGAAUAUUUUCGAGCAUGACUUCUUGCGUAGAUGAUUUCGAGCUGCUGAAAAUGCUUCAAAUACUGUAGUCUUGCUGUUUGACCCACUAUUCAACCGCCUUGCUCUUUAAGCCCGGGUUUGCCUUAUUAGAAUGCCCUUUUGGGUUUUCAUCCUAAUCUUUUGUGUUAAUCAAGAAGCCCUUUUCGGGUUUUCACCUUGAUAUAUAUAUAUUUUAGGCAUAAUAUUUCUUCACAGUAUUUGAAUUCACUGGAUUAGGUAACUCCUUCCUAUCCAUCUCAGUGAGAAUCAAAGCUCCACCUGAGAAUGCCUUCUUUACGACAUAUGGUCCUUCCCUAUUUGGUGCCCAUUUUCUUCGAAAGUUUUUUUGUAUUGGGAGAAUCUUUCUCAGCAUGAGUUCUCCUUCGUGGAAUGCUCUUGGCUGUACUUUCUUGUCAUGGGCCACGAUCAUUCUCUUCUGGUACAUCUAUCCGUGACAAAUUGCCUUUAAACGUUUUUCUUCGAUGAGGUUUAACUGGUCAUAUCGAGCUCGAACCCAUUCUGCUUCCUCUAAUUUUGACUCCAUUAAGAUUCGUAGAGUAGGGAUCUCAACUUCGAUAAGUAACACAGCUUCCAUUCCAUAGACCAGAGAGAAAAGAGUUGCUCCCAUAGAUGUCCGCACAGAUGUGCGAUAUGCAUACAAAGCAAAUGGUAGCUUCUCGUGCCAGCCUUUAUAUGUCUCGAUCAUUUUCCCAAUAAUCUUCUUAAUAUUUUUGUUGGCCGCUUCAACAGCUCCGUUCAUUUUCGGACGAUAGGGUGAGGAGGUAUGAUGCUUUAUUUGAAAUUGCUCACACACUUCCUUCAUCAUCUUAUUGUUCAGAUUCAAGGCGUUAUCUGAAAUGAUUCUUUUAGCCAAACCAUAUCGACAGAUGAUUUCCUUUUUUAAAAACCUGCAAACUGCAGUCUUCGUCACAUUGGCAAACGAAGUGGCUUCUAUCCAUUUUGUGAAGUAGUCAAUAACCACAAAAAUGAACCGGUGUCCAUUAGAAGCUUUUGGGGAAAUUGACCCUAUAACAUCCAUGCCCCACAUAGAAAAAGGCCACGGAGAAGUCAUGACAUGAAGGGGCGAAGGGGCUGCAUGGAUUUUAUCGCCGUAAAUUUGGCAUUUGUGGCAUUUUCUUGUAAAACUAAUGUAGUCGCUUUCUAUCGUCAACCAGUAGUAACCAAGUCUCAUAAUCUUCCUGGCCAUAGUGAAACAAUUGGCAUGUGUCCCACAGGUUCCCUCAUGGACAUCUUCAAGUAUUUUUUUGGCUUCAAUAGCAUCUACGCAUCUCAAGAGCAUUUGAUCUUUUCCUCUUUUGUACAAAAUGUCCCUAUCAAGAACAAAUUCUACUGCCAUUCUUCUGAUUGUUUUUUUAUCAUUUUCAUUUGCUUGUUCGGGAUACUUUUGAUUCUUGACAUAUUUUAAGAUAUCAUGGAACCAUGGCCGUCCAUCUGGUUCUUUUUCAAUGCUGAAACAAUGUGCAGGGACUUCAUAUAUGCUCAUUUGAAGAGGCAUUAUUUCUGUUUCUCUGUUUGCUUUAAACAUUGAAGCCAAAGUAGCCAGGGCAUCAGCCAAUUGGUUUUCUUCUCGUAGGAAGUAAUUAAAAGUUAUUUAUUUGAAUUCUUUGAUCAGUCCUGCUACUAGAUUGUUGUAUUUAGCUAGUUUCGAAUCUCUCACUUCCCAAUCCUCACGGAUUUGGUAUAUCACCAACGCUGAGUCCCUGUACACCUCUAAGAUUUCAACGUUUCAUUCAAUAGCUGCACGAAGUCCCAUGAUACAGGCCUCAUAUUCCGCUAUGUUAUUGGUAUAGAAAAAAUUCAGCCUGGCAGUGAAUGGAUAAUGGUUCCCUUCUGGUGAUACUAAGACUGCUCAAAUCCUAUGCCCCAAUGUAUUCGAUGCACCAUCAAAGCUCAUCUUCCAUGACUUCUCUUUUGAUGACUCGCACUCUUUUUCUGGAAUGCACAUCAAAUCUUCAUCUAGGAAAUCAAAUCUCAAUGGGUCGUAUUCCUCCAUUGUUCGAGUGGCUAAGAAAUCAGCUAUUAUAUUCCCUUUUAUUGACUUUUGGCUCACAUAGACGAUGUCGUAGUCUGAUAGUAGGAUCUGCCAUCGUGCCAUUCUUCCUGAGAGUGUAGGUGAUUCCAUCAUGUACUUUAUUGGGUCCAACUUUAAAAUUAACCAUGUUGUAUGAUACAACAUAUAUUGUCUGAGCCUUUGAACUACCCAGACCAAAGCGCAACAGAAUUUUUCAAUUGAUGAGUACUUUGCCUCAUACUCUGUGAACUUUUUGCUGAGAUAGUAAAUCGCCUUUUCUCUUUUCCCUGACUCAUCAUGUUGCCCCAGUACGCAACCCAUUGAAUUUUCGAACAUAGUCAGAUACAAUAUUAAAGGUCUCUUAGAGUUGGCGGUACUAGCACCGGGGGACUAGAAAAAUACUGUUUUACCUUGUCAAAAGCCACUCGGCACUCUUCGUUCCAUUCUCCCGGAUUAUAUUUUCGAAUGAGUCAAAAAAUUGGGUCACACUGGUUGGUAAGUUGAGCAAUGAACCGAGCGAUAUAGUUCAACCUCCCUAAAAAUCCUCUGACUUCUUUUUACGUGCGCGGAAGUGAUAGUUCUUGUAUGGCUUUUAUCUUAUCUGGAUCAACUUCAAUGCCUCUUUCGCUGACUAUGAAGCCUAGCAAUUUUCUCGAGGUAGCCCCAAACGUACAUUUGGCUGGAUUAAGCUUCAGCUAGAACUUUUUCAGUCUUUCGAACAACUUCCUGAGGUUCCCAACAUGCUCUCUUUCUCCCUUGGAUUUGUCGAUCAUAUCAUCGAUGUAGACUUCUAUUUCUUUGUGCAUCAUGUCAUGAAACAAUAUCACCAUGGCCCUCUGAUUUGUUGCCCCAGCGUUAUUUAAUCCGAACGGCAUUAACUUAUAACAGAAUGUUCCCCACAUCGUUACGAAAGUAGUUUUUUCCAUAUCCUCAGGAGCCAUUUUUAUCUGAUUAUAACUCGAGAAUCCAUCCAUGAACGAAAACAAUGAAUGUUUGGCUGUAUUAUCUACCAACGUAUCGAUGUGUGGCAAAGGAAAAUUAUCUUUAGGACUUGCUCGAUUCAAAUCGCGAUAAUCCAUACACAUUCGUACUUUGCCAUCUUUAUUUGGUACUGGGACUAUGUUAGCUACCCAUUGUGGGUAUUUGGAGACUUGUAGGAAACUAGCAUCGAAUUGUUUCUUGACUUCUUCUUUUAUCUUUAACAGUAUUUCAAGUCUCAUUCGUCUUAAUUUCUGUUGAAUGGGUUUGCAUUCUGGUUUCAGUAGGAGUCUAUGGACCACUACAUCCUCAUCCAAUCCUGUCAUGUCCUGAUACGACCAUGCAAAUACAUCUUUGUACUCAUGAAGCAAAGCGAUCAAAUCAUGUUUGGUGUUAUCUGAAAUGGAGGUUCCAAUCUUCACUUUUUGCCUCUUUUCUCCAUUUCCCAAGUUUACUAUCUCAACAGAUUCUUGAUGAGGUAAAAUCUAUUUAUCUUCUUGUUCUACUAUUCUUAGUAAGUCAGGAGAUGAGACAUAGUCUUCAACAUUUUCCUCAGCUUCAAACUCUCCUAAACAAAUAGAUUUCUCGAAAUCGAUUUCAAGAUUUGUAACGGGUUUGUUCAUAUCGUUGAUAUCUGAGCACCUGAAAGUUGAAUGGAAAAGAAAACUAUAGAGGAGCAUCAAAGUAUUGGGACCAACAAACAUAAUGGCAUGAUGUGAGAUAUAUAUAAUGACAGGCUGUGAGAAGAGGAAAAAGUAUGAAGUUAAUGAGAAUGUAAAGACCAUGACAAAAUGUAUCUUCAUUAAUGUUCAUUUAAAUGAUGAAGAGCAAAACAUAAGCUCUUACAAAAGAAUCCCUACUAUUACUUAGGGGCACACAAAAAUAAUAGUGUUAACAUUGAGCAUUACUCUGGAGAAGACUUAGAAACUACAAGGAGAUCCACAGUAGUCUAAUUGUUCAAAAUGAAUCCAGGAGGACAAGGGCGUAUCAUUGAAACAUCUUUAAUUGCGUCAUUUCCUUUGUCAAUGACAUUUAUACUGAUAUUCUGAAGACCCAUUUCAAUUGAUAACAGUGUACUUCGUGGAUUAUCCUGUCCGGGGUAUAUCAUUCCUGCAGAUGUAAAUAUUUUUGACAAAGGAGGGUACGUUAUGGGCUCCCAUUCUAAUUCUCGGCCCAAGGUUCUUGCGAUCCUUCUUUCUUGAUCUUUCUUCCAUUAUUUUCUUCUUUGACGUACAUCUGGUUGGAACCCUAAACUGUAUCGAGCUUUGUGAUGUACUGGCUUUAAAGCCCUGACUAUUCCUUGUAGGUACCUUCCCAAACUUUUCCUUGCUCGGGUUCCUCUUCCCACAGUUAUCUUGAUUCCCAUCCUAGUAUUUCUCGAUAGUUUUGGCACGGGAAUUCUGUUUCUCUCAGCGACGAAUGUGGCAUUGACAAAUUCAAGGGAUCGGAAGGAACAUUCUAUAGCAUCUUUACUCACUUUAAUGUAUGGUGCGUCAGUAGAAAUAGAUGCUACAAUGUCUUCUUCUUCCUCGACAGUGACCAAAUAGCCAUCCAUGAUAAAUUUUACCUUUUGAUGGAGGGAUGAUGGGACCGCUCCAGCGGAAUGGAUCUAGGGUAUUCCCAAAAGGUAGUUAUAUGAGGGUGUAAUGUCCAUGACUUAGAACUCGACAUCAUAGAUGUAGGGACCCACUUCUAGAGGGAUCUCAAUCUUCCCCAUGACUUCACGUCUUGUCCCAUCGAAUGCCCUUACUGUGGAAUGACAGGGCCUUAAAUAGGACAGAUCUAUCAGAAUUCUGGAAAGCGUGGCUAAGGGUAUGACGUUGAGUGCCGACCCAUUAUCGAUGAGCAUGUUCGGUAUUAUGUAACCCUUGCAGCGGGUUGUGAUAUGCAAUACUUUCACGGAGCCUCUACCAUUAACUGGUAUUUCAUCUUCACUAAAAGAAAUGAAAUUGUCCGCGUUCAAAUUAUUCACCCACCUAUCAAGUUUCUCAACAGAUAUGUUGUUUGCUACGUAAGCUUGAUUUAACACCUUCAGCAA
rnacentral:lncRNA from 1 species